rnacentral:lncRNA from 1 species
GUGGAUAUCCCCAAUCCGAAUCGCUUGGACACAAGGCGGAGAGGCUCGCCGGUGGCCAACCUCCAUAUACAGACGGCCACGCGCUGGCGAACCGGAAUCGCCAGGCGAAGCAUUGUGUCCUUCUUGGUGACAACCGAGUCGAGCUCAUCGCAAAUCAUAUCAAACGUCGCUCGACUCAUCCGAAACGCGCGGCGGAAGUCCUCCUCCGGGAAAUCCGGGUGGCUACACCACUCCCACCAGGCCUUGGACCUGUCCUUCACCCACAACCGCCGGUGGUGCCCCACCGGCUGGCUCGAACUCUCCGAGCCCACAUUGUCGGAAGAAGCAGCAGCAGCAGCAACCCCAGCAGCCACCGUGGAGGCCGACCGCCGCGCCCGCUUCACCCUCGAGCUCUCACUCUCCUCCAUUUCACCAAACCGCUCAACCAUAUCCGCGCGAUACUCAUUCAUGGCCUGAGCCCUCUUCCUGUGAUUCUCCUCGAACAGAGCCCUCUCGUUCUGAUUAUCCAAAGCCCACUUCUCCUGAUCCAACUUCUCCUCCUCAUCCAACAACAGCAACGAAGCGAGAAUCUCCUUCAACGCCCCACUCUCGUCUCCAGAACCCCCACCGGCGCCCCUCCUCCUCUUCCUCCCACCACCACCACUACCACCACCUCCGGCACUAUCGUCCGGGAUGCUAUUACCACUAUCUUGAAAGAAGCUAUAAAAAUGGGAGAAGUCGUCCAGCAGAAAAGUAGUUUCCAUGGGCUUGAAAUUGAAAAUAUAUGAGGAAAAGCGGUGUGAACUGAUGUGGGUAUGAAAUUGAAGGAUGAACAAGGUGGACUGGGAAAAUAUAUAUGGGAAAGAGAAGGCGUGUACGCAUGUGUGAACGCGUAAGGAAAGAGAGUUCAGGUGAUGAGUCAUGAGGGUUCGGAGGUUUGACGAUGAGUUUGACUUUGGAGAGCGCGUUAACGCGGUUGGGGAGAAUGGGGGUGUGGGGAAAUCGGGAAUUGGGAUUCUGGGGGCUUUGCAAAACGUUGGAAAUUGCGAAGCCUGCUGGAACCUUCCCCCCUCAAACCUACGAGGAAAGCCUUUGGAAAUUGCCCUUCCAAUUUUUUAUAUUUUAAGACAAGUGUUUAUUAUUAAUAAUAAAAUUGUUUUUGAGAUGUUUUAAAAAAUAAAUUCUUCCUUUCCCAUUCAAGACUUCAUAUAGAAGACCAGAACUUAAUAGAAGCCGCCUUUUCGGUUUGAGUUCUUCAAACCCCAUAAAUAUUCCUUUACAAUUCCCGUAUUAUUUUAAUCUUUAAAAAUUAGUGUAAUGUUAGAAAAAUAUAAAAAAUAAAUGUUAUAAAACGAUAAUUCUAGAAAAUAUUUUUUAAUUUAAAAAAAAUUACCAAAAAAUUAAAAAUCUUAUUUGAUAAUUAUUUUUAAAAAUAAUUUUAAAUAUCAGUUUUUGAAAACUGUUUUUUUAUUUUUUAUAGAAUAUAAAUUUAUUUAAAACUUAAAAUAUUUUUAACUUCUUUUUAAUAUUUGUAAGUAUGUUUUAAAAAAUAGUUUUUAUAUGCAGUUAUUUUAUAUGUUUGUAUAAUUAUUUUUAAAACAAUUAUAAGAAAAUAAGUGAAAAUAAUAAAAAAAAACAACUAAAAGAUAUUAUAAAAAAUAAUUUUUUGUUGAUUUUCUUAUUCUAAAAUAUAAAAAAUUGUUCUAAAACAAGAUAACAAGUGUUUUGAUAAAUUUUAGAAAAUAUUUUUAAAAAUCCGAAAAAUCUCUUAUAAUAAUCCUUUAUUUUUUAAAUAAUAAAGAAAAUUUUUCUAAAUUUAAAAACAUGUUUAAAAAUAAUUAAGGAUUAUAAAUCUCUUAAACUACCUUCUUAAUCAUAUACCAUACCUCAUUUUAUUAUUUUAUUCCUUUAAAAAAAUCCAAAUGAAAAUGAAUUUUAAUUAAAAUAUUAAAAAACAAAACAAAAGUUGGGGUUAGCAAAACCACGUGUGCCCAUUGUCUCCAUUCUUAUCCGUUCACACCUCAAAGAUUCCUAGUAUUCAUUUCCCUGAUAUCACAUGCCUUUGAUCUGCCUCCCACUCUUUUCCAUCAUCAAUGUCAAAACCCUAAUCAGAUCGUCUGGUCUUAUAGAAUUCAACCAUGACUUCCCUUUAGUGUUUUCUUUAGGAAACAACAAUAAGCAAGGAAUAUUGAAAAUGUUUUAUGAAAAUUAUUAAUUUUUAAGUAAUAAAAAAUAAAUAUUCAAAUUAAAAUGCAAAAUUGAACUAAAAAACAAAGGUUGGGGGUUAGGUUGUUUGUCCAUUCUUUAUCUGUUCACACCUCAAAAGAUUUCCUUAUAUUCAUUAUCCAUUUUGUUUUUUUCUCACCCUUUGCAAUCCUUUUCACUAUGUUUGUUUCUCGGGAAAUUUAGCAAGGAUAAGAGGAGGGAAAUAAAUUAAACAAAGAAGAAAAAAUGAAUGAAAAAUAAAAUUUAAAUUUAAAUCUCUAAGUUAAUUUUAAUUAUAUUUUAUUUUCUUUUUAAAUAUAAAAAAUUCAUUUUUUAACAAAUUUUUUUUACGACUUUUCAAAAACCAAUUAUAUGUCUUAUUUCAUAUAGCCUCAUGCUUUUGAAUUUAACUAUUAAUUAUAAUUAAAAUUAAAAUUAAAAUCAUAGUUUUAAAAAAUACUAUUAGUAAUAUAAAAAAUGCAUUUAACAUGAAAUAACUUUUUAUAAAAAUUAAUAUUUAAAAAAAAUUAUAUUAAGCUAUUUGAACAAAAUUAAUCAAACAAACAAACACUUAUUAAACUCUAAAAAAAUGAGUUUUUAACUUAUCAGAGUUGAAUUAAACUAAUCAUUGUACUCCGAAACUUUCUUUAAAUGUGUAUUUUAUAAAACUCUUCAUAAAUGAUUAAAUUAGAUUCUCUAAUCCUUUGAAAUUCAACCACAGCUUUCCUUUGAAGCUUAUUUAAUGUAUUUUAGGCGCUCCAUAACAUUUAUAAUGGAAAAGUCAGUGAAGGCUCUAUAUCCAUAACAUUUAAUACAAGUUAUUAAAUAUGAAAUAACUAUAUCCAUAAUACGAAUCCCCUUUCUAAAUCAUGGUUAAAUUUAUAAAUUUUUUUUAGAUGGCAUAACAGGAAUUCAUGAGAUUAUGCUACGUGUACAUAAAUUAAUGACGUAGAUGGUGAUGUCAUGUAUACAUAAAUUAAUGAGGUGGAUGGUGAUGUCAUAUGUAGAUGAAUGAAUGAUGUAAGUGAUGAUGUCAUUUCCACGUAAACUAAUGAGGUAAUGUCAUGUGUUUUUGGGCCAAUAAUGCAUGAAAUUAAUUUAUUGAAAAGCAUAUGGUAAAUACAUCCAUGCAUGUGGUCCUCACUCCUCUUAAUUAUCUACCUAAAUCAGCUGAACAAUAUUUUGGAUCAAUCUUCCAUUUAUGGCCAUCAAAUCAUCUCCUACACUUAGACAUGGUGGGGUGGUUCAUGGCCUGGUGGCGACUACCAAGGCACACUAGACCCAAUUAGAUUCCUCAACCCCUGUUUAGAUUUCGGAAAGUUAUGAAUUUUUUUUGACUCUAUGCUAUGAUUUACCUUCGAAAAGUUUAGACAAUAUUUAAUAUGCCAACAACACGAUAAAGCAAAUCUUCUCAUAAAAGUGAUUUUUUGAAGACCAUCACUUGUCAUGACAUACUCAUAACAUGAUAAUAUUAAAUUCAAAUAUCAACAACUAUUAAUAAUUUUUUUUUUCUUUCUAAAUCAUAACUUUUUGAAAUAUCAAAAUAAACACGUGACCAAAUAAACUUAAAUUAUAGACAAAUUAGAUUAUUAUAUCAUUUAAUUAUCAAAUAGUAAUUUAAUUUACAGCAAUUGAUAUACUCUAUGUAUAUAUGGCAUAUAAUAAUUCUCAAGUUGUUGUCUUAAUUUCAUCAUAAUUGUUUGUUAUAUUCUUAAUCUUCUAAGAAGCCACAUUCUCACCUAAUAUACAUUAAAGUGUCGUUUGUCUUCGUAUUAUUCUACAUUCUUGCUAAUACAGACAAAUGACAUUUACAUUUGACCCAAAUGGAGAAAAAUCAACACGUUCAUAUAUGAUUUCAUGGACUUUCUCUCAUUUUAAUUUGUUCCAUUGAUGGUUGACAACUCACCAAACAAAAAAGGUAAAAAUUAAAAAGAAUAUUGAAUGAGAAAAUCAUUAAAUGUCAACCGUUAUACUAGUUUUCAAAUCAAUAUAGACAUAUGAUUUUUAAGGUCGGUGUCAAAUAAUACAUUUUAAUAAUAUAGUCAAUGUUGGUUAUACUCUUUUUCAAGUUAAUAUGGAUAUGAUUUUCAAGGUUAAUAUCGAAUAAUACUAUUCAAUGAUUUGGUCAACGUUGAAGAAAUAAUGUAGAGUAAGAAUAUGAACAUGAGAAAAAUGUGAUAGAUCUACCAAAAUUUAUUGCAGACUAAGAUGGAGGAAAUGUUAUUAAAACUUGGGUAUUUUCUUAGUUAUUUUGACGGAUUUUUGGAUGAAUUCAAGUUUUUAUGUUGGUGCCACGUAACUCUUAUCUUUUUUCAGACCUGUCAAGGAUCUUUUUGUAUUUUACAUUUCCACCCCCAGGGUGCUGGUGGAACCGUGGUCAGGUUGAUUUGUGAAUUUUGAGCCACAAACAAUGAAGGAGUGGUUCAGGUGUAGCCAUUUCAAUUGUGGGUUUUGGGAGUAUAGCAGAUUUCAGGGUCCAGAUGAGCCACUGCUCUUCCAUGGCUUCUCUUCUGAAUCCAUACCCCACUUCUCCGCUGCAACACAAGGUAAUCUUUUCGGUUAUCGUCACUGUUAUUUGCAUCAAUCCAAUAAGAGGGUGUAGUGCUUUCGUCAAGAUUUUUGAGUUUCUGUUGGUGUCCUGUGAUUUGGUUUGAGUUGGGUUUCAAAGAAUUUGAAUCACAGUUGUGUGUUGUCGAUUGUAUUUGGUGAUGAUGAUGAAGAACCCAAUAAAUUAUUUUUGUAUUUUCUGCAGAAUUUAUAAAUUUUGGGGUUGUUUUUUUUUAUUUAUUUUUUAUUUUUGUGGUGGUCUUAGCUUCGGUUUCAAAGAAUUUGAAUUUCAGUUGGGGAUUCCUAAUUGUGCUUGGUAAACGAUAAUGUGAAAAGUGCUUGAUUGUGGUUGUGGAGGUAUCUGCUGAAUGCAGACUGCAGAGUAAUGGGUUGUGUGAUCGUUUUGGUUUUAAAAUCAAAUUGGUUUGGUGGGUUGAUCCCUGAUAAAUUUAUCGGUCAGUCAAGGAAAUUGGUUGAAGUAGAUCAUGAACCUGAACUUUAUAUGAAUUUCCCUUUUCUAUACUGCUCUAUUUGGUUGCGGAGAAAACAAGUAAUAGAGUGAAAGAUCGAUUUGGAUCCCAUUAUCUUGUUCUUGUUCGAGAAGAAAAACCCCUAUUGAUAUUCCAAUUUUGGGCUCAAUUGGGUAGAUGAUGGAAAAUCUAUUAUUUCAAUUUCUUGUCUUUUCAUCCUUUGAUGUCAACAAUUGAGUGGGGCACUCCAGUGAGGUUUAUUCAGUUUGAAUAAUUUCCGCAAAUUGCAACAAAUUGGUGUAUCUUGUUAUCGAUUUUGGGGUGCCUAACAGGAGUUCUUUAUUCAAUCCUUGCUUGGCCAAGUGAUAUGGAUCUGGUAAUUUUGAGUCUGAUUAAUACACAAUACAAGUCCCGGUAAUAUCCAUUUGAAGUUUGCUUGUCUUGAAAUGCUUUCACUGACAAAUACAAGCAUAAUAACAAGAAGAGAACAUGCUAGACGAAAACAGAGCAAUGUAAAUAGAGCAGAACUCAGAAGGGCCUGAAAGAUCAUUGGGCUUCCAAAGUCCAAUGUUAUCAUAGUUUAGGGCUUAAAAUUUCCGAAAAUUAAUCCUGCAGCCCUGGGGUACCGUAUUUUCCUAUUGUUUAGAUGUGGAUAACCUGCAAUAUGAAAGUUCUAUACCACAAAUUUAAAAAAAAAAAAUAAACUUCAGGAAUUUGCUGUGAAGCUUGUGCAAACAAUCCAGUUAUGUUGGUGAACUGUUACUAUGUUUUCUAGGGCAAGUUUUUUAUUAACUAGUGGGGUAGCUUGCUUGGCUCCUCUCUGGAUCUCAAUCUGAUCUGGGUUUUAUUGAGGUUAUCGAAUAAAGAGAUUCACAUUUUCCCCUUUUUCCCAUAUGCAGGUGAACCGUUUCAGUUUGAACACCAUAUCUAGAAACCUGCUAUCAAACAGAAAUCAGCUGACUGUGAGGAAUGGCCCAACUCAUGGGCAUCGUCUAAUUACUACAGCUAAGAUGUCUGUUGAAGGAGAUGUAAUGGUGAAAGAAGCCAUUAGUACUGACCAAAAGAAUGGUACUCUUCUUACUCAUUUACAAUAGAUUAGCUUAGUAAGACAGAUCAUGAAAACUCAUUGAGCCCGAAGAAGCAUUCAAGGUUGAAACAACACCUUAACGUGCAUUAGUGUUGUUUGGAAUGCUGCUGAGCUGUAUCCUCAUAUGUUAUUAAGUGAAAUUUUGAAUAAGCUUCAAAGUAGCUUUAUCAAGGAACAUCAGUUUGGUCUCCAUAAUCUGCAUAUAUAGUAUUGUGUCUCAUUGGCAUGCCACAUGAGCCAAUAAGUAAGAUUCCCAUUUAUAGGCAUGCCAUGUAAAGUCAGUGACUUUCCAACUAGGGUAUGCAAUGACUAAAGAUAACAUGAGUCAGAAGGAGGGCUAAAGAUGGACUCAUAUGAACCUUCCCAACACCAUAUACUUGGAAUUCUUUUGAGGAUACAUAAUUGAGUGUACAAUUAAGAUAUUGUAGGGCUUAUGAAUCUUCAAAGACAACCACCAGUAUCUGUCCCUAUAGGUGAGCCAGUUUAAGGUAAUGCAGUUUGAACAAACAAAUACCGGUCUCUUUUCAUAUUUUCCUUUUGGACAUCCUACUAUAAUCCAAACCCAAACAAACAGUAAUGAUUUUAUAUAUUCAUGGAGUUCAGUUAACUCAGACAAGAUUUUUAUGUAGUAAUGUGUCUGGUUACAUGCUACCGCUGUAGCCUGCAUUUAAUCCUCUGUAUGAUGUGCAUUGGUUCUGGUUAUUUAGGCAAAAUAUGUGCCACCAUUGGUAAGAGGGAGAGUUUCUUUGCUGACUCCAGCAUGUGGGAAACUUCUUCUCAAUGUGCUUCUUUUUCAUAAUAGAUAACUGAAUGUUGUGGAACUUAAACUGAAGUAGAAGCCUAUGUGAUGUGAAUAAUAGUCUAAGGAAGAAAGGAGUAAAAGGCUCUGCUCUUACUAUUACAUGAGCCACUUUGACAACUCACAUUAGUAUUUCUUCCCAUCCCAAAUUUUUUUUAUAUGCUGAUGUUAUGCAGAUAUUGGGAUUGUCAGCCUUCACCAUGUUGGAAUAUUAUGCGAGAACCUUGAACGAUCGUUUGAUUUUUACCAUAACCUUCUGGGUAUGUUAGUGCUUUCCAUUCUAAAGUUUGCCACAUUUUGAUUCAUUUCACAGAAAAAAAAAAUCUGAUAUUUUAACUAUAAACCAGGUUUUCCUGUAAAUGAGGCGAGACCGAAUGACAAGCUUCCCUACAGGGGAGCCUGGCUGUGGGUGGGUUCUGAAAUGAUUCAUUUGAUGGAGCUUCCCAAUCCAGAUCCCUUAACCGGAAGACCAGAGCAUGGGGGACGAGAUCGGCAUGCUUGUAUUGCAAUCCGGGACGUGUCUAAGCUGAAAGAGAUCCUGGAUGAGGCUGGUAAGUUUUGUUUCCUUAUUCUCCAGUUCAUCCUUCUUUAUCCCAGUUGCUGAAGGGGAAUGGUUUUGUUUUGCAGGUAUUCCCUACACACUUAGCAAGUCUGGUAGGCCAGCAAUCUUCACACGGGACCCUGAUGCAAAUGCCCUUGAAUUUGUGCAGGUGGAUGCCUGAUAUAUUCCAGAUCUGGUAGCAUAAACUUGUGGUAUCUCUAUUGUUAUAACAUUUCUCAGAACACCAAGUUUGUUUGUACAUAUAUUCUCAAAAGUAUCAAUAAAAAAAAAAAAGGGAAGAAGAAGAAGGAAAACUACAAACUAUGGUCACCUUUGAAACUGAUGAUAGUUAUCAGAAAAGAAAAGAAAAAAAAAAUCAGAAAUUUUGAUGGGAUAAACAUGGGAUCCUAAUUUUCCUGGCCAUCUGCAGCUCUGUGAGUUCCCAGAAGGUGUGCUCUAGAUUGUCUUCUACCAUGUCUUCAUUCAGUCCUGGGAGUUUAUAUAUAUAUAUAUAUUUGAUGUACACCACUCUAGAUAAUUUUGUCCCAGAUAUAAUCCAAAAUGCUUUCACAGGAGGUUGUUGGAGCAUAUAGGGUAUGUUUGAUUUUACAUUUUAUAUACAAAUUAAGUAAUUUAUAAAUUUUUAAUUAAUUUUAAUUAUAUUUAAUUUUCUUUCCUACUUUUUAUUAUAAAAUUAAAUAUAAAAGAAUUAUUUUUUUUGUACUUUCCAAGAGUCAAACAUGAUGUUCAUGUUGCAUUAAAUUUUAAAAAUGAGACAACUUGUUUAAAGAUUUAAGAUAUUUUAGAUUUUUUUGAAUUUAUUAUUUUUUAGGAUAAUUUUAUCCUAAUGAAAAAGUAAAAUAUUUUAACUUUUAAUUUAGUGGGAAAUUAAUUAUUUUCUUAUUUUUUAUUCAACCUUUAACUUUGUUAUGAUACAUAAACUCAAUUUAUCAUAUAAAAUAAAACCACAUUAUUUGUAAAAAAUUUGUUUAACUCUUAUCUUAAAUCUAAAUUAAAGUAUCUUAAUUUUAUGCCAAUAGGAUGAAAAAUGAAUUUAUUUAUAAAAAAAAAAACCCAAUAUGACUAAAAUAAGUUUUAUUCUUGUUUACUUAUUUAUUUAUUUAUUUUAUCUUUGCUUUUUAGAGAGGUUUGCUAUGUUGGGGGCAAGUCAUUGCCUCUAUGGUAGAACCGGAGGGGCUAAAAGGCAAUGAUUUACCCUAUGGCAAACAUCAACGGUUCUCCAACUUGUAAACUUAACCAAUACAAAAUUAUACGAUAACAUUCAAUUUUUCCGAUUCGACAAUUCGAUUUAUGAUUUAUCAUUCCUGGACAUUGAUAAGAUCCUUCCUUAACGAAAAUUUAGAUCUAAAAUUUUCUUAUAAAUUAUUACUCAGAAAUGAAAUCAACAAUAUAGAAAUCUCUUAAUUUUGAUAAAAAAUUAAUAUAUAAAAUUUCAAAACUGAAAUAAAAAUUCUACAGUAUGAAAUCACUAUUUUUAUCUCAUAAUUUAUCCAAUAUUUAGGGAAUUAAAUUUCAUAAAUUUCUAUGAAUUCUUCAUUCAAAAAUAAAAAUAAGAAAUUAAAGUUACAAAAUUUAGAAAAAUUAAAUUUACCACGAAUUUUUAAAAUUCAAUUCAGCAUCUCACCUUACAACAAAAUCAAAAUAAAUUACUUCACUUUCAAAUUACUUAGAAUCAAUAAUCCUAAUUCGACAAAAUAAAAUAAUUAGAAAUUGAUAUCUCCAUAUUAAAAAAAUUAAAAUUAAUGAAUUAAUCUAAAUAAUAAAGCACAUACAUCACAUAAAAACAAGUUAUAAUAAUAAAUUCUAAUAUUUUGAAAUACUAAAAAAAAAAUGUGUAUUUUUUGUUUAAAUUAUUAGCUUUUGAAUUAAAAUAAAAAGAAAUAUAAUAAUUAAUUUUAUAGAUAUUUUUAAAAUAUAAAAACAACAUUCAAUAUUCAAACAUGAAUAAAACAAUUUCACUUAUAAGAAACAAAUAACCUAAAUAAUUAAUAACUUUAAGUCAAAUUUAGAUCAGACAAAAAAGAUAAACACUUUCAUUGUAUCUUGAACAUCUGAAGAUCUUAACAAAAAGUCAAUAAUUACAAAUUAUAUAACAAUCCAUCACACACCUAUUUUAUAUAACAGCUCACAAACAGAAAUAUCUAAAAUUGAAACCUAACACCUAUUUUAUGCUUUACAUUUGGCUAAAUUUGAAGUUCAGCUUUAGGCUGCUCUUCGUUGGUAAUGAAGAAUGAUAAGUUGAAAUAAAAACGUAAAGACGGGGAACAUUUGAGACUGAUGUCACGGACUUACGUGUUUCCAAAGCUCAGUGCAGUACUUAGACAACUCAAGCCACUUUUGAGCGGGUUGUCACACUAGCCCCCUAGCUUUAUGUAGUAAAGAAGAGUAUAAAUACAGUCUUACCUUUCUUUCCAGUUCAGUUACUGGAUGAUUCUACACGACACCUCCAUUCUUGUAUUGCAGAACGUAAUGUCUGGUUUGGAGUUAGCAUUUUGUGCUGGAACGUCCACUUUGUCACUGGUGAAACAUCGUGUCUAUCGAGCCAUGCCUUGAUCGCUCGAUGCUCGUAUGUAAAACCAUCAGCUGCAAUGUGUGGAUCCUCCAUUACUUCCUGUAUUGACACCAGAUUGAUGUUCAUGAGUUAAACAAAAGUCCCAAGAAUCAGAAGGGCAUCUGGGGUUUGAGCUUUUCACCUGAAGGAUUGGACAGAAGUAGUGCUUGGGCGCGGAAGUAUUGUUUAUUUCUACCCUUUUACUAGCAUCUGCAAAAUCUGCAAGUCUUUUGAGAACAGGCAGAACUUCAGUCUCAAGAUCUGGCCUAUCCCGGCAUCUGAGUUUGGAACAUUUUAGUGCAAGACAAGCUAGUUCUUCUGUUUCAGCAAUUGGCCAAUCUGCAAUUGACUUAUCCAACGUGUCUGCAAAAGUACCGUUAGUAAUGGCAUUUUCAACUGUCAAUAUAAGGCCAUUUGGAUGGCGAGCUGCCAAUAAUUGGAGGAUUAUGACACCAAAAGCGUAUACAUCUGAUUUGGGUCGAAUGGUGCCAGUUCUCUGAUACUCAGGAUCCAUGUAGAAGAGUGUACCAGCUAGAAUGGAGUCUCUGUACUCUGUGAUGUUGUCAGGCACGGCAUCUGAAAUGAGCUUAGCCAGCCCAACAUCUCCAAUUUUGCUCACAUAGUUUCUGUCUAACAAGAUAUUACCCGGUUUUAGAUCACGAUGAACAAUAGGCUCUGGCUUUGAGCUGUGUAAGAAUGCAAGCCCGCAAGCCACCUCAAAGAUAAUUUGGAACCGAACAAACCAAGGAAGAGGCAUCCUUCCGUCUUGGCGGAAAAUAUGUUUGUCCAGGCUUCCAUUUUCCAUGUAUUCAUAAACCAGACAACCACUCUCAGGACAGGCUCCUAGAAGCAAAACCAUGUGUGGAUGGCGUAGGUGGCUAAGGACUUCAACCUGCAAAGAAUCAUAGUGAACAGUAGGGAAGUUAUCCCAGUUGAAAUCUCAGUAUAAAUAUUGGAUUCGGCAAAUAUUUAGAACCUGGAAUAAAUGGGAAUGUAGCAGUUAAUCAGAAAAUGGAGUGAAAAAAGUGAAGAAUCCCAGGGUUGUGAUAAAACUAGAUUUCAAGAAUAAUUGGUAAAGCAUUCAAUAAUCAAUUUGAGUUGAGAAGGAGGUGAUGUUAUGGAAAGUAAAAAAAAUAUAAAGACAACAGUUCAUCAAAGAAGGGAAAUUUGAAAAAGCAGAAGGGAGAGGAAUCCCCCUCCUAUGAGGUAUGGGCUCCCCUCUUGGCUCAAGAGUCAGCUUCAGGAAUUUUAAGAAUAGUUAAGGAGCUCUUCCUAAUAUUCAUUGUAAUAAAAUUGCGUAGUGCACCAAACAGUUCUCCAGUUUUUGAACUUCUACCACAAAUAUUAAAUGACAUGAUAUUAAACAAAAUGACUGAAUGGGGCUCGAAACUUCACUGAGAUUGGAAAAAUUUUAUAAACCAAAGAAAUACCUCUCUUAGGAACUCCUCUUUCCUGUCACAUGCAUCAGAAUGAAUAACCUUGACAGCUACUGGGGUAUGAUCAAGGUUACCCUUGUAGACCUUCCCAUACCCUCCUUCGCCAAUCACCCUGCUCUCAGAGAAAAAAUCUGUUGCUACCUCUAUUUCAUCCUUUGUGUACUUUCUGUACCUCUUGUCGCUUGAGAAGAGUUCAUCAACGAUUUUCUGUUUUUCUGAGGACUCUUUCAGAGCAUGUAGUUCGGCUAUCUGCCUACCAUUGACCUCUAUAGCAAGCAAGUUUUUUGCCACCUCAACCUCCUCCAUUGUUUCCAAAUGCUUUGCUUUCUCUUCUGAAGCAAUUUUCCUGAAAGUUCCUUCUCUUUCCAGGGCAGCAUUCACUUUUCUUCUUUCUUCAAUGCAUUCAGAAGAAAGUAUUUGGACCUGCAGGAUAGUGAAUCAAUGAUACAAGGUGGGUGGAAUAAAUAUAUAUCAUGGGAGAUAGAACAAUGAAUUUAGUUUCAGAGCUUUUGAUGGUCACAUCACAUUCUGCAAGGAUAUUUACAUAUUUGCUAUGAUAUGUGCUAGAUAAGUGAAAAAAUACAUUUUGGGUGUCAAGGUAUAACUUCGAUUUUGAAAUCUACAGUGACAAUUGAACUAGAAAAAGAAAUCCUAGAAAAUUUGAUUUUCAGUUCCUUAAUUUAGAACUGGCCUGAAAUUUAAAAGAAAAUUGUUUUGAAAUUUAAAGCCUUAUCCACAUACGAAAAUGUUCGGAAGCCAUAAAACAGUCAUGUUCUCACCUUGCUUUGGGUAUGGACCAGCUCUUCACAUGCUCUUUCAUACAUGGAAACAGCAUCUUGUAAUUCUAGCCGCAAUUUUUCUACUUCAGCCUGUCCAAAAAUAUUAAUAGAUGUUAAAGCAACUAAGCAUCCAUUUGCUUAAACACCACCUUGGAACUGAGGAUUUUUUCAAAAGAUUUUACUAAAGGAGGUAGGCAACAGCACAUCAAAUAAUUCACCUGCUCACUUUUGGUAGAAGCCAUGGAAUUGCAACUUUUAACUGUAAGAGUCUCCUGAUUAUUAUCUCCCAGGUUUUGAUGAUAACUUUCCUGAUCUAUACUAGCAUUUGUAGAACCCUGAUGUGUAAAUGCUUGAGAACUUGAGAAACUAAGUUCGGAUAAUGAAGAAGCUCCAAAGAUUUUACGAACUUUGGACCCCAAAGUGGAAAAACCAGAUAUUUGUUCAUUAAUACCAUUGGGACCCUCAGUAAGUUUUCUUCGAGUGACAAACCAGUGUCUAGAGCUCGUCUCUGGGGGAUAAAACCCAUAGAAAUAGAAGAACAUGUCAAAAGAAGGUAAAUAAGCAUGUCAACUUAUUAAUGUGAAAAGGCAACAGUUUCCAACGUACUGCUGAAGGAUGAGGGAUUGGUUGAUUUUUUUCUAAGUCUGCGUCUAGAUAUAACAUAAACAUCGCAAGUGUCAGGAGCAUAUCUUAGGACAGUUGAUGGUACACCUGGUCCCCUUAGCUUCCUUAAAAAUCACAGCUUAAAAUUCAGCAUAAGCAUGACAAAGAAAAGAUCAUACUUUUUCAUCAACAAAAGAGAAAAAUCAGAAAUCAGAAAUUGGAAACAUGCAUAAAACAGAGGCAUAUAUAUUUAGCACAGUUGUAGAAGAAAAACAGAACUACAUAAAGGGCUGCUCCAUGAUUAACUCUAUACCCCAUUGAUGUAUAAAUAGCAUUCAGUGAUCUAUUUCAUGCAGUAGAACUUGAAAAUUGUCUUGUACUAUCACAUAUAAGUUACCAUUUUCAUGAUUAACAGAUCUACUGACAUACCGCCACUUUAGGAAGAGCAAUACUGAAGCUAUAAGAAUUCUUGGAAUUUUGGGGUAUCUGAGAUGUAUCAUGCAAUAUUAAAUUUGAAACUUUGUAAAGAAAACAGUCCUGAUAACUUAAUUUUGAGAAUUAUACAUAAAGUGAUUGAUUAUCCACUCAUCACUCACAUAAGGUAGGUAGAAAUAGAUAUGCCCAUAACUCGAUCAAACUGAGUAGAGUUUGAAGAAAUAGGUUCCUGGAAUUAAGAUGGUAGCUGAAAAUUCUCAACAGCAACUGAUUUAGGCAUCAGGAUACCUGGUUAAUAGAUUGAAGGCAGAAAUAGCCUUAAGUUGCUGGAAUCCAAAACCUAGGUGCUAAGAGCUAAAGGAUUCUGUCUCACUUCCAAACUAACACAUUCUGAUAAAUGGGUUUGGCUCAUCUGUAGUUGCAUGCUCUUAAAUCAGUGUCAAUUAAAAUUAUCACAAAUCAAAUUGCCCAAUGUCAUGCUAUGGAUGAGGGUCUGAUAAUUUCUUUGAAAAGGAUUGAGAAAGUGAAUACCAUGGCAUAAAUCUCCUAGCUAAACCUAAAACAAUAAAACGAUAACAAGAACAUGAUAUAUAGGAUUCAAUCCAACCACAUAAAAAUACGAUGAUGCAAUCAUCAUGAGUAGGAAAUCAAGAACCGGUACUCAAAAUGCCAAUCGCAAUUAGGAAAACAAAGAGAUGGAAAUUAAAAAAAUUAUUAUUUCUACAGAUAUGUAUAAUGUGAUACCUCAAAAUGCAGUUUGAAAAGCAAGAGCCCAAAACCAAGCUUUUAAUCCCUGACUCAGAGGCGUAUCUUAGAAGCACUGUUGCAGGAUUUUUACCUUCCAGCACCAAAGUUUCUACCUAUAAUAGCUUUGAUUAAUAAUUAUAAUCCAACACUUAUCAAUUAUUAAAGCUAGAUCUAGAUAAAGGAUAAAGAACAAACUCACAUUUAGAGUUUUGCAUAGUUUCUUAAAUGGGAGAAAGAUUUGUUCAAACUUGGCUCUCAUGUCCUGGACAUACAAUUCCACCACAUUUGCGUCCAAUUCAUUGAUGGGUAUUUGCUCUCCUGCUGCAGAAAAAUUCAUUUGAAAAUGAAAACAUCUAUAUAACAAUUUUUUUUCCCUUUUGUCUCUGUAUGUAGAUCAAUAGCAAAAUUCCCGACUGAGUCUUAUUUUGAUCAAUGAUCUCGACCCAUGAGUUCUCCAUUAAUAACCCUAACCAUAAUUUCAAUAUCAUAUAUAUAUAUAUAUUGACUCCCAUUUGGUUGCCAAGAAAGUGAAGGAAAAAAAAUGUAUGUGAAGUGAUCAACAUAGUUGUUUUGAAUUCCAAUUUUGGCUACGAAACAGGUCUCAGAUUCGAUUUUUAUUUCCUCAGUCAAACAAUUCCAUAAGGGGAACUAGAUUUAGCAUAGCUAGACCACAGAAUUCAGUAUUUUUUUUUCCCUUCACUUUCCGAGAAAACAAAGGAAAACACAAGAAAACUUAAAAUCUUCUAACAGGUCGGCUUGUGGACCGACGAAAGGCUUUGGUUUUCCAACUAUUUCUCGGGAACCAAGCAGAGUGGAAGAGAAGAGAGACGUACAUGGAGUUGGGAUUGAAGUGAUUGCCGGCAUGACGUGAAUUAAGAUUAACGUAUCGGCAUCAGCCGAAAGAUUCUCCACCGCCCAACGAACGGCCCGGCGGCUUCCGUUGCCUCUGCUGCCGGGGCCGCCGUUAACGGCCACGGCGACUGACGUCAUCGCCGCCACAGAUAUCAGCGUUGACUUCUCAGCUGUCAUUCACUCCUUCUCAAGCAGACGGCGUUUCCUUCCUUUUUGGCAACUCUCUAUAUUUUCUAUUCAUGAACACGAAAAUAUUAAAUAUUUUCAAAUUAUUUAAUCUAAAAAUAAAUAUAAUGAAUUUAAAGAAAAUUGUACUUUAUCUAUUUAUCUAGGCUUGUGCACCCAAUUUUUUUCUUUUAAUUUUUCUACUUCAUCUAUUUAUUUAAUUAAUCCUAGGUUAUUUUAAAUUAAAUUAAUGUUUGAUUAUUAUUUAAGUAGUUAAAUAAUUACUUUAAAAAGAGAAUUCAUGCAUAAUUUAUUAUAUACAAUAUACAUACCAUUUUAGGAGAUGAAAAAUUCUCCAAAAAGAAAAAAAAAAGUAAAAGAGAAAAUAGAAAAAACGAAUGAUAUUUUGAGCAAAGAAAGAUAAGAGUUAAAGUAAAUAAUGAUAAUAUAUAUAUAUAUAAAAUAACAUUAAUCAAUAUAAAUACUUUCAUUAAUCAUUAAAAUAUCAGUUUUUUCAUUAGGAGUUUCAAAGAAAUCAACCUCUUCUCUGUGCAAUUUUAAUUGAGAAUUGAUUUUGAAUAAUGUAGAGUUGUACUCACAAACAAUUUUAAAAUCUUACAAUACCAAGCGUACAAGAAAACCACAAAUUUUUUAUUGUCCUAUUUGCCCUUCAUGGAAAUACUAAUAAAUAAUUAAAAAAAUGCUUUUACAUAAUCUAGAUUGCAAUGAUACAUAUUUCCGGCCUAAAUCAACUCUAUAAGAUUCAUCACAUUAAGAUGUAUCUUAUUAUUAAGGAUCCAAAAGUGAUAGUUCUUUCCUAAAUUGUUAAGUGUCAUGAGAUUAUUACAAAUACAAGUUUUAUGAAAUUCAAUAAUAUUAGAGAAAUUUUCAUGUGUGACAAAAUAAUAUUGUUAGAAUGACUUCACAAAAUUCAAAACCAUAUUAUGAAAAUUGCAUGCAACAAACAAAAUUUAAAAACGAUAUUAAUAAGAAUGCAUGCUUCAAAAUAAAAUAAAUUUUGCAUAAUUUUGAGGUUACUAACAUUAAUAUAGUUUUUGGCUAUAACCAAAUAUAAAAUUGUUUCUAUAUAACAUCUAAUCACAAAAAAAAAGAUAAUUUUCAUGUAACUUUUAAUUAUGAUUUAAAUGAUAUGUGUACAUAACUUCUAGUUAUGACAAAAAUUAAAUUAAAUUAAAUAAUUUAAAUGAAAAUAUACAAAAUCUAGUCUAUGUUAAUAUCCCCGAAUUAAAAUUAAGAGAAUUAUCUUUAAAAAAAUUAGUGCUAAUAGCAUGUUAUAAAACGAGGAGCAUACCAAAAAUAAAAAGAAAGUAUAAAAAGGAGGAUAGAGAGAAUUUGAUACAAUUUUUUUUUCUCAAUAGAUGUUAAUACAUAGAUGGAACAAUGGGUUGCAGAUAUGUCCAUUAACUCAUAGUCACAAUGAGAGAAUGUGCCACGUCCACAUUUACUUCAUUACAACAAUAAUUUCUUUAUUUUUAAAACAAAUAAUAGUAAAGUUGAUAGUACUUGAGUUGCUCACUUGAGUCAAUAGAUCAAGUAGCUUUAAUUAUCACUGAGUCAUUUUCAAGCACUCGACUGAAUUCAUCUAAAUAUUUGGUUUGCACUCUUAUAUUUCCAAAGAUUUCUCUCAUUGUCCAUGCAUUUCUCCUGAGCAAGGAUGAAAAUAUCGGUAAUCACGGAUAUAUCGGUACUUCGAUUUUACGGAUAUAUCGGCGGAUAUUUUGGAAAAAAAUAUCGAUAAGCCUAAAAUUGAUCAAAAUUUAUAAAAAUAUAAGAAAAACUUCAUAAAAAUGUAAUUAGAAGUAUAAUAGAUAUUUUAAAGUUAUUUUAUUAAAGAAUUUGAUAUAUGUAUAAUAUGAUUUAUCAUAUUUGAUAAUAAUAUCAUAUACAUCGAUAAAAAUAUGAAUUUUAUAAGUAUAUAUUUAUUAUUAAAUUAUUUCAAAUAUUAUUUUAUAAUAAUAUUAUGAUAUUUGAUUAUAAUAUGUUUAACUUAAAAAUAUAUAUUAAUAUUAAAAUUAUGAUCCAUUUAAUUCAAUUGUAUUAAAUAAUAUAAAAUAAAUUAUGAUAUGUACAAUUUUUUAAUAUUUAAUUAAUUCAUUAAUGAUAUUGAAAACACUAUGAAGAAAAUUAUUAUGAUAAUUUUUAUAUUUGUGGUAAUCAAUUAAAAGAAAUUUUUUUAUUUAAUUAUAAAAUAAUUAUAUUUAAUUUGCUCUCUAAAAUAUUCUUUUAAAAUUUUCUUUGCAUGAUGAUGACUUUGAAUAUAUAUUUUAAGUGCAAUCUAUUUAACAAAGGGCAAGCAUGCCUUGGUGGUUGGAUGCGUUAAACCCCAAACAAAAUAGCGCGUUAAUCGAUCGAAACAUCGGCGAUUUUCAUCUUUUUUUGGCCAUAUUUUCCAUUAUAUCGGCGAUUUAUUGCCUGGAACAGAUAUAUUGUUGAUUUUUUGGCCAUUUUUUGCGAAAUAUCCCUCCUCCGAUUUUUCUUUGUGAAAUGUCGUGUCGCCUACUCUCGAUAGAAGAUAUAUGGACGAUAUAUUGUGACAUUUUCCUCCUUGCUCCUGAGUUGCUCCCCUUCUUCUUCCACCAUAACUCACCUUAUUAACUUACUCACCGAGUCGCCUGUAAACGAUCCAUCUCGAUUGUCCCUCAGUACUUCCAACCUGACUCGCUUAUUCUCAAGGAGUCUUGCCACCAACCCUAGAUCCGAAGAAGCCCCCAGGGAAAAUAAUCAACACCCAACCCAACCCGAGACCCUCGAUCACAAAGCUCCAGCCGCAGUGGGUCAAGAACCCACCAAUCGAUGGGUGGGCCAAGAUUUGCUUUUGUGGAGCCGAAUUGGCCCAAACUAAACCACGACCUGAAACCCGAGACUCGAACCCGGUUAUAAUCGGAUCAUCUUUGGUUUUAACCACCCAAAUGAAGGGUAAGCCAGAUUUCUCUAUUCCAGAUGCCAACUCGUUCAUUUCAUCCUGACUCAGAGUAAACUCACUACCGAUUGCAACAUAAAGGACGAAGUUUUGGAUUUUCUCGUCAAGCCAUUGUCUUAGGCUAUGUUUGGUUCCCAGAAAAUUUGAAGGAAAAUGUAAGGGAAAGAAAAUGCAAAGGAAAAACAGAAGGAAAGAAAAAGUGAAGGAAAAUAAAAAAAUAGAUUAAAAGUUAAUAAAUUAUUAUUUUUGUUACUUCAAACUCAUUUUAUUUAUUUUAACUCAUCAAUAUAAAGAUUAAAUAAUUUAAAAAUACAUAAGUUUUUAAUUAGUUUUAAUCAUAUUUGAUUUUCUUUGAUAUUUUUCAUAAGACAACCAAACAUAAAAAAAUCAUUUUCCUUUGCAUUUUUUUUCUUUUCUUAGUAUUUUCCAGGAACCAAACAUAACCUUAACAAGUCCCGGUUCUCGGCUCUCUCGCUAUCGUUCACCUUCGCCGGAAGCAACCCCAUCGGAACGACAGGCUUUUGGUAGAGCUUUUCGAGGAGACUCAAUGAAUCACCCUCUAACCCGGCGCAGCUCCUGAUAGCCACGAAUCGGCAGCCUUCAAUCACCUUUGCCAAUCGGAAGAAAUCGGGAGCUUCAGGGUCCAUGCAGUCAUGGAUGCCAAUCACCUCGUAGAGCCUGUAAGCGACGGUGGACGGAAACGGGAUCCACUCAGGAACCACGGUUAAGUCCUCCACAUGCUGUUGGUCGCGGCGGAUCAGCUUCGCCGGCGGGCCCAUGAAAGCGAGUGAGCAGGCAGCCAAUAUGCUGAAGAAGACUGAGUUGAUACCGAGUCAAGAGGCGAUUGGGGGCAACCAGUGAGGAGCAAAGUCAUAGAUGAGCCAGUUGACAUCGGAGUUCUGUAGAAACUCAGUGAGAGGGAGUUGGAGCUGGUCGUAGGCUCGUUUCAGAUUCGGGAAUAGGUGGAAUGGCAACUCGGAGGUGGACUCGGCGGAGUCGGGCAAGCCAUGGACGGCAGGCAGAGGCAGUGGCAGUCGUACCAUGGUUACAAGUGAGGAUAAAUUUGGAAUUUGAGAGAGGCGACGAAGGUUUUUAGGGGUGGAGAGGAAGGAAAUGCGGUGACCCCUUUGAACUAAGUGGCUGGAGAGAUGAAGAAAAGGUAAGAAGUGGCCAAAGGCCAGCCAUGGGAACACAGCUAUGUGAAGCUUCUGAUGCUCUUUCUUCAUCUCAUCCAUGGCAAUGGAGUUGUGAGUUGUGAGAGAAAUGAUCAAGAUUCAAAACUUUGGGUAGAGCAGUGAUGUGAAGUUGCAGAAAGAGUUGUCGACUUGUGCUCAUCAUCAAAGGAGCAGCGCACCAUGGAUGGAUGUCCCGCUGUACUUUUAUUGGACCCUUAUCGUUAAAUCCUAUCACUCAUCCCCGCAAUGGUAAGCCAAGGGGAAAAAGUGUGUUUUGGUGAGAGGGUUUUGAAAAAAGAAAGAAAAAGGAAGAUAAAAUCCUUUAAAAAAUAAUUAAAAUUUUCAUUUCAUCAUCUCUCCUGUUAAACAAAUAUUCGAUUUUUAUAUUAAAAUAUAAAAAAUUUGAUUUAAUUAAAAUUUUAUUUUCAAAUUAUUUAAUCUUUACAUCAGAUAAUUAAAAUAAGUUAAAUGACUUUUAAAUAACAUAUGAAAAUAAUUUAUUAAUUAAAUUUUUUUUUUCUUCCAAUUUUUUCUUCUUAGAGACACAACUUUUCCCAUGAGAAAAGGUAGGAUCUUAAUUAUUGAGCGUGGCGGUGAGAUUUUGAAAUGAAAAUUGAUGGUCCUUGGAAACUAUUACCCGACUUGAAAUAGUUUUCUAUAUGCUAAAAUGAUUAAAUGAAAUAAUUUUUUUUGAGAUUUUAAAAAAAAAUAUAUAUUGUUUUUGGGAAUAAAAUUGAGAUAUCUUCAAUUAUAUUUUAAAAGUGUUUCAAAAAAUAAUUUACAAGAAUUAAUUUUUUUUUACAUUAUACAUUAUGUGCACAAAAUUCAUGAAAAAUAAUUAAAUUUUUUUUUUUCAAUGUUUUCAGAAUUGGAUUAAUCAUUAAAUUGAAAAGUUAUGGAUUUAUGGUUCAAUAGUUUGAUUGAUAGUUAAAUCGCGAUUGAACUGGUGAUGUAAUAAAUAUAUAAUUUAUAUAUUAUAUAAAAUUAAAAUUAUUUAUAAAAUUUAAUAUUAAAAAAUAAUAAUAAUUCAUUUUUAUAUAAUUCAUUUUAUCAAAUUAAAUUGGUAAUAAUAAAUAUAAAUAUAUUAAUAUUUUAAAUUUUAUUAAUUAAAAUAAUACACAUAUAAUAUUUUAAAGAAAAAUUAUAUGUUUAAAAUUGUAUAUUUUUUAUUUUAUAAUAUUUAAAAACAUUAUAUUAUUCUCAUAAAUAUUAUUAUAUAAUAAGUAUAAUUAUUUAAGGGUUUUAAAUAAUAAAAAUUUGAAAGAAGCAUUACUUUCCAAAUCCCAAUAGUCUAACAAUGCUUUUGAUAAGUUGGAGGUCCGAGGGUGAGUCCUCAGACAAACAGAAAAAAAAAAAAAAAGCUCAUGGAUCAUAAGCAAUAGGGCCUAUGAGGCUUGGCUUGGAUGGAAUAAUUAGAUAAUUCAAAAAUUAAGUUUAUUCUAUUAAUGUUUCCAUAAAUUACAAUAUUAUUAGAGAAAUUUUCAUGUGUGACAAAAUAAUAUUGUUAGAAUCACUUUAAAAAAUUCAAAACUAUAUUAUGAAAAAAAAAAAAAAAAAACAAUUAUGCCACUGUAAACCUCAUUUUUUUGUGUAGUUUUUUUAUUAUUUUUGUAGCACUUUGCUGUCAGCGUGUUUUAGAGUGGGGGACGACUGUGAGUUACAUGCAUGGGACAUGUGCCAAGACACCACCACCUUGCCAUGGUGGUAGUUGAGAUGGGGACUCCUUUUGAACAGAUGACAGAGGAGUGGGUGGUGAGCAGUAAAAUUGGUGAAGACUGGAGGUGAAAGAAAAACAGAGCAUGGGUGGGCUGUUUUGAGGGGGUACCAGCUAUGAAGAAGGGAGGGAGAAAAACGAGCAGCGGAGGGGGAUUUUUCUGGGAGAAAAAUCUGGAGAGUGGGUGCUGGGUUUUUGUGGCAGCUGAGGGAUUUUAGAAAGAAAAAGAAGAAGAGAGGUGAGCUGAAAUUUGGGGGGGCGGUGGGGGAACGCGUCUGAAAAUAGAGCAAGAGGAGAGGUGGAGUGAAAACGGGGAGAACGGUUUUUUUGAAAGAAAACAGAGCAAGAGGAAGGUUGUCCACGGGUGAGCGGUUUUUGAGGGAGGCGCCUGAAAACAGAGCAAGGGGAGAGCUGGAAGGAGAAACGGAGGACGUUUUUUUUAAGGAAAAAACAGGCAGCAACUGGAGAGAGAGAUCUAGGAGAAAAACGGAGCACUUGAAGCCAAGUGUGCUUGGCUCAAGAGGAGACACCCAUGUUCAUUGUGAACCGUGUAUUUUCUUAUUUUUGGAUGCCAUUUUACCUGAUGUCUCUGUUAACUUUUGGGUCGUUCUUGCUGGUCCUUCCAUGUUCGUUUCCUUGGCUUACCUUGAAAACUGGUGAGGUUUUUUUUAUCAUGUUCAUUGCGGGGCAUUCUGAAGAUCAACGCAUUUGCUCUACUGGGUGUCAUAUCUGCAUUGUAUUUGUUUUUGGCUUUUGCCUAUUCUGUUCUUCUUUGCAACAUACAUAUAUAUAUAUAUAUAAAAUGAAAGAUAUGGUAGUGUGCUCGAUGGGAGUGAACAGAGUAGGGCAGUCCCACAUAGAUUUUGUUGGGGAACGGAUUUAAAAGUAUGGAAAUCACACCCCUUUUUUUUAGGUUUCUAGGAUUUUUGAGUUUCGGGCUAGGUGGGUUUCUUCUUUUGGUUGGUUUUGCCACUCCAAAUGGCUCUCGUUCCACACUUUUUGAUUCACGUUCAGCAUUUCUCUACUUAGGCCUAUGUUUGGUGGCUGGGAAUUUAUAAGAAACUGAUUUUAGGAUCUGGGUAUUUGGUUAUAUGAGAUGAUCUUAAGAACUGUUUGAGGUUUCUACAAACUGCCUUGCAUUUUCAUAUUAUAAACCCAACACCUCUGGUUUGUUGGAAAUGAGUUUGAAAAAAUAAUAAUUGAGCAACUUGGGGCUUAAUUAAAAGUGUGACCCACAUUCCGAAAAUGUCGGGACCAUGCACCAACGCGUUCUCCUCCGUAAGAGUAUAACGUGGUAUAUUUAUUUGUUCAAAUCCAUUAAGUAUUGAAUGAGAAAAUUGACUCCAAAGUCACCCACUUGAAAUUAUAUAUUUAAGGAAACUUGGUAUAAACUUACCAUAAACACUUUAUCCCACGUAGGAAGGAAGUGUGAGGGGAAUGUGAAGAGUUUAUAUAUUGAAUUUUUGCACUAUAGGAACGGCCCAAGGGGCACCCUAAGUUUGUAAAGGGGAGGACCUACAUGGGUGUAGGCUUGUGUGGGUUUAACCCACACGGGCGCAGCCGCCCGGGCCCAUGGGUCUUGGGCUUGGGCUUGCUAUAUAUAUAUAUAAUUUUUGGGCAAAAAUCAUUUAAGUUUCUGGGUCGGGGUUAUCCGUUGGCUUUUCAUAAUUAAGAUUCAUUGUUAGAGUGUGCCUAUUCCGAACAGGUUCAUGACUAUUCCAAACAGGUACGUGUCUAUUCCGAAUAGGUUUAUACCUAUUCUAAACAGACACUAGGAAGUCUAUAAAUAGACUUUCUACCUCGGCAUUAAUAAAAUAAAAAAAAAAUUCAAUCAAUUCCUGCAUAUUUCUCUCUCUCCUCUUUGCAUCCUUUGUCAGUUCGAGUACAAAAUACAAGUUGUGUUCGUGGUGUUCUACAGAUUGAAGUGCUGCUUUUGUAGAACUGAAAAUCCGUUCUAUCUUGGGAGACAUUUAUUCACUACUUGAGCACCAGAGAGGGAAUAAAAUUGUCUUAAAGAAACAGUGUUGUCAUUGGGCUCGAAUUCAUAGAAUUAAAGUAAGUUCUGUAAUUUCAUUUAUUUUAUUUACAUACUUAUUUAAUGUUUACUUAAAGUAUAAACUGUAAAAAGAUUUUAUUGUUAACAUGGUUUGCUUUUUGCAUCUACUCCCCUUCAUUUUUAUGUAAUUCACCAUUCUCUUCCUCUACAAAGAAUCAAACAUGGCAUUCACAAUUUGAAAAGCUUGACCCAUCAAAAACAAUACAUCGAGGCCCUCAAACGCACCACACAAGAGCCACGUGUCAUCCUUUUUCUUUUUUCUUUUUCCUUCUUUUGAUAUUAAAAUUUUAUUUAUUUUUUAUUUUUUAUUUCUCCAUUCUCCAAUAAUUCAUCAAAAUUCCAAUUUUUAAAUUUAAUUUUCAAGAUUUUAAUUUUAAUUUAAUUUUCAAAACUCCAAUUUUUAAGUUUAAUUUUCAAAACUUCAAUUUUUAAAUCUAAUUUUCAAAAAUCUAAUUUUCCAAACUUUAAUUUUCAAAUUUAAAUUUUAAAAUUUCAAAUUUUAAAUAAUUUUCCAAAACUUCAAUUUUCAAAAUUCUCAAAUUCAUUUAUUUAAUAAUAAUAAUAAUAAUUAUUAUUAUUAUAUUUAUUUAUUUAUUUUUUAAAUUCCACUAUCAAAUAAUUCUUCAAAAUUCCAUUUUCUUAAAUUUAGUUUUCAAACUUCCAUUUUAAAAAUUUUUUGAAAUUUCGAUUAUUAAAUUUAAUUUUUUAAACUUCCAUUUUUAAUUAAUUAUUCAAAUUUUAAUUUUCACAUUUAUUUAUUUAAUUAUUGCUAUUAUUAUUAUUUUAUUUUAUUUUUUUAUUUUUAAAUUACAUUCUCAAAUAAUUCUUCAAAUUUUCAUUUUUUUUAAAUUUAAUCUUCAAGAUUUCCAUUUUCAAAUAAUUCUUUUUUAAAAUUUCAAAUAAUUUCAGAACUUUAAUUUUCUUUCAAAUAAUCUUAAUUUCACUCCAAUUUUCAAAUAUUUUUUUAAUUAACCACUUUUUAUCCUUACUAAAAAUUCUAUUUUUAAAUAAACUUGCUAUAUUUCCUUUCAGGGAAGCACCAUAAAUUUUCUUCGAUUUUAAAAUAAUUUUCCGUUUUUCUUGAUUUCUAACAAGCAUGAAGACAAUUUUCAUAAUUCCAAAAUAAUGGAAUUUGUGGGAUUAAUUUAUACAAAAUCAAUUGGGCUUUGGUGGGGCCCAACAUUCAUAACAUUUGUUUUUAAAAUAAUUUAAGUGAAUUGUAUAGUUAAUAUUGUUUGAUUUUGAUUGGUUUUAUGUGAAAUAUUUUACACUUAUCAUUGUACACCAACCUUGUUUCAUGAUAACACUUUAUUAUAUGUUGUCAAGCUACGAUCUUAUUCCUACUUUGCUUAUUCCUAUGCAUGAUUCGUUUUAUUAUUUGAUCUAUGAUCAUUUUGAUAUUUGUUGAUUUCUUUAUCAAUUAUCACACUUACUUCACCUUAUUUAGUAGAAACCAAUUUUUAAGAGCUUAGAGGAUCCUACGAUUUUUAUCGUACAUUUCCAAUAAGUAAUCUGAUCUUACCUUCAAAUUCUGAUAUUAUCUUCAAUUAGACAAUUUUUCUUAAAACUUCACUAAGAAACACAAUAUCAAAUUUGCUUAUUAUACGUUCUCCUUAUAUACCUCAAAAACCUAAGGGUUCCUUUGUUAGGUUUGUCCAUGAAAGGUGAGUCAAAGCCUAAGAUCAAGUCGAAAGGCAUAGUUGAUGGGUAAUAAGUGAAUAUUCUUGUAUUAUCCCUUGUUAGUCUCGAAAAAUCGAAAAGCAACCCCAUUUUUCACCUUAAAUUAAUCAAAAUAAGUAAAAUUUCUUGCUUUUUGUAAAUGAGUAGAUUUAAUAACUAGGGGUCUAUGGCUAACUGAUAUAAAAUAAUUUAAAUAAAAAAUAUACAAAAUCUAAUCAUUAAUAACCCUGAAUUAAAAUUAAGAAAAUUAUCUUCAAAAGAAUAUGUGCUAAUAGCAUAUUAUAAAAUAAUGAGUAAACUAAAAAUAAAAGAAAGUAAAAAAAAAAGAAGAUGGAGAGAAUUUGAGACGAUGUUUUUUUAGAGAAGGAUGUUAAUACGUGGAUGGAACAAUGCUUUUAUAAGCUUACGUAAAGAAAAAGUAGAUAUCUCCAUUAACUUACUGUUAAUAGAUCAAGUAGAUUUAGUUACUACUGAGUCAUUUUCAAGCACCCGAGUGAACUCAUCUAAAUAUUUGGUUUGCAACUUCACAUUUCCAAAGAUUUCCCUCAUUGCCCAUGCAUUUCUCCUAAGUUGCUCUCCUUCUUCUUCCACCAUAACUCGUUUUAUUGACUUACUCACUGAGUCGCCUGUAAAUGAUCCAUCUCGCUUGUCCCUCGGUACUUCCAACCCGACUCGCUUGCCUUCAAGGAGUCUUGCCACCAACCCCAGAUCUGAAGAAGGCCCGGGGAAAAGAAUCAGCACCCGACCCAACCCGAGAGCCUCGAUCACGGAGCUCCAUCCACAGUGGGUCAAGAAUCCACGAACUGAUGGGUGAGCCAAGAUUUGCUUUUGUGGAGCCCAAUUGGCCCAAACUAAACCACGACCUGAAACCCGACCCUCAAACCCGGUUAUAAUCGGAUCAUCUUUGGUUUUAACCACCCAAAUGAAGGGUAAGCCGGAUUUCUCUAUUCCAGAUGCCAACUCGUUCAUUUCGUCCUGACUCAGAGUCAACUCACUACCGAGUGCAACGUAAAGGACGGAGUUUUCGGUUUUCUCGUCAAGCCAUUGUCUUAACGAGCCCCAGCUCUCGUCUCCCUCGCUGUCGUUCACCUCCGUCGGAAGCAACCCUAUCGGAACGACAGGCUUUUGGUAGAGAUUUUCGAGGAGACUCAGUGAAUCACCCUCUAACUCGGCGCAGCUCCUGGUAGCUACAAAUCGGCAGCCUUCAAUCACCUUUGCCAAUCGGAAGAAAUCGGAAGCUUCCGAGUCCAUGCAGUCCUGGAUGCGGGUCACCUCGUGGAUCCUGAAAGCGACGGUGGACGGAAACGGGAUCCACUCAGGAACCACGGUUAAGUUCUCCACCUGCUGUUGACAGCGGCGGAGAAUCUCCUCCGGCGAGCCCAUGAAAGCGAGUGUGCUGGCAUUGAAAAUGCUGAAGAAGACUGAGUUGAUACCGAGUCGAGAGGCGAUUGGGGGCAACCAGUGAGGAGCAAAGUCAUAGAUGAGCCAGUUGACAUCGGAGUUGUGUAGAAACUGAGUGAGAGGGAGUUGGAGCUGGUCGUAGGCUCGUUUCAGAUAGGGGACUAGGUGGAAGGGCAACUCGGAGGUGGACUCGGCGGAGUCGGGCAAGCCAUGGACGGGAGACAGAGGCAGUGGCACCAUGGUUACAAGCGAGGAUAAAUUUGGAGCAAUUUGAGAGAGGCGACGAAGGUUUUUAGGGGUGGAGAGGAAGGAAAUGCGGUGACCCAUUUGAACUAAGUGGUUGGAGAGAUGAAGAAAAGGCAAGAAGUGGCCAAAUGCCAGCCAUGGGAACACAGCUAUGUGAAGCUUCUGAUGCUCCUUCUUCAUCUCAUCCAUGGCAAUGGGGUUGUGAGUUGUGAGAGAAAUCAAGAUUCAAGACUUCUGGGUAGCGCAGUGAUGUGAGGCUGAAAAGGAGUUGUUAUCGCCAUCCAAGGAGCACUAUACCGAACGAGGGAUGUCCCACCACAGCUUUGUUCUUUGGUGCCCAUUGUUAUUUUGGGUACCCACCCAGACUCCAGUAAUAAAGUGACACGUGUAAAGUGUAUUCAAGUAACUUAUCAAACCGACAAGAUGAAUUAUUGAUCGGAAAUAAUCACAUGCAUAUCAAUCAUAUCUACAUAUUAUAACUUUUUUAUAAUUUAUUAUUAAAUAUCAAAUAUAAUUUCUUAUUUAAUGAACAAUAAAACAUUUAUUUAAAGAAAAAAAAAAAGCUACCGAGUUACCCUUAUACUCUCACUAUUCAAACAUAUAAAAAGGGUACUAAUUUAAUAUGAAAAUUAGGUCAACUAAUGCAUUGAAAAAAAUGGGGAUGUGUUUUGAUAAAACACAUUUGAAUGUCAAGUUCAAAACUUUUUGAGGAAGAAAAGAAAAAAAUUUGUAUUCCUUGAUGAAGAUCAAGGAUUUCAAGUGAUUAUAAGUGUCAAAAGUAAUAUUUGAUUGUUUUUUUUAUUUAAAUAUGAAUUAUGUAGGUAGAAAUGUUAUGUUAAAUAAUAAAUAUGUAAUAAUUUUAUAAUUUUUUAUGAGCUUAUUAUUAAUCAAAUGAGGAUGAUUUAAUAUUAUGUUAUCAAAUUACUAUUAAUAUUUUUAUAUUAUUUUUUUUGUGUGUUGAUAGAUUAGAUUUGAAGAUGAAGUUUUAUGUCUUGCAAAGGGAAAACAAGAAUUUUUGUUUCUUAAGAAGAUAUCAUAUGAAGGAUUUCAAGUGAUUACAACUGUUAAAUGUAACAUUUGAUAUGUUUUUUUUGUUUAUUUAAAUAUAAAUUUUGAAAGUAACAAUGUCAUGUUAAAUAGCAUUUAAAUAUGCAAUGAUUCGAUUUAGAUUUUAAAUUUUUUAUGAGUUAUUAUUAAUCAAAUUGAGACAAUUUAGUCAUUUGUCAUGAAAUUGUCAUCAAUAUUUUAUAUCAUUUUUUUGUGUAUUCAUAUAUUAAAUUUGAAGAUGAAGUUUUAUAUAUCUUGAAGAAGGAAAAUAAGAAUUUUUGUUUCUCAAGAAGAUAUUAUAUUAAGGAUUCCAAGUUAUUACAAGUAUUAAAUGUAAAAUUUGAUUCUUUUUUUUUUAAUUUAAAUAUAAAUUUUGUAGGUAGAAAUGUCGUGUUAAAAAGCAAUUGUUUUAAAUAUGUGAGAGGGGAUAUGAACAAUGUGAGAGAUAGUAUAAAUAGUAUGAGAGAAGGUAUAAGCAAUGUGAGAAGGUGUACAAAAAAUGUGAAAAGGGUAUAAACAAUGUAAGACAAUGUACAAACAAUGUGAUAAGGAGUACGAAUAAUGUNNNNNNNNNNNNNNNNNNNNNNNNNNNNNNNNNNNNNNNNNNNNNNNNNNNNNNNNNNNNNNNNNNNNNNNNNNNNNNNNNNNNNNNNNNNNNNNNNNNNGAAUAAUGUGAGAGGGGGUAUAACAAUAUGAGAUGAGAUACGGACAGUGUCAGAGAAUGUACGAACAUUGUAAAAGAUGAUAUAAACAAUGUGAGAUGAAAUACGAACAGUAUGAGAGAAGGUAUGAACAUUGUAAAAGAUGAUAUAAACAAUGUGAGAUGAGAUACGAACAGUGUGAAAAAAGGUACGAGCAUUGUAAAAGAUUAUAACAAAUAAUAUGAGAGAUGGUACGAACAAUGUGAGAAAUGAUACAAACAAUGUAAGAGAGUACAAAUAAUGUGAGAUGAGGUACGAAUAAUGUGAUAAAUGAUACAAACAAUGUAAGAGAGUACAAAUAGUAUGAACAAUGUGAGAGAGGUACAAACAAUGUGAGAGAUGAUAUGAAUAUUGUAAAAGAUUGUAUGAACAUUGUGAGAGAUUGUACAAACAUUAUAAGAAAUAGUACGAACAUUGUGAGAUGGUGUACAAAUAUUGUGAGAUAGAGUAUGAAUAAUGUGAGAGAUAGUACAAACAUAAUGAGAGAUGGUACAAAGAUUGUAAUAGAGACUAUGAACAAUGUGAAAAAGGGUUGAACAUUAUGAGAUGGGGUACAAAGAAUGUGAGAGAUGAUAUGAAUAUUGUAAGAGAUUGUAUGAACAUUGUGAGAGAUUGUACAAACAUUAUAAGAAAUAAUACGAACAUUGUGAGAUAGAGUAUGAACAAUGUGAGAGAUAGUACAAACAUAAUGAGAGAUGGUACAAAGAUUGUAAUAGAGACUAUGAACAAUGUGAAAAAAGGUUGAACAUUGUGAGAGAGUGUACAAACAAUGUAAGAGGGGUAUGAACAAUUUUAUUAAACAAAUUAAAAUAAUUUAAUUAUUUGUUAUCAAAUUCAAUAUUUUUAUAUCAUUUUUUUUUUUGUAUUUAGGGAUUAUAAAAUAUUAUUAUUAUCCUUAUUAUAUAUAUAUAUAUAUAAAUGAAAGAAUUUGAGAAAUGAUAUGAAACAUGUGAAACAAGGUAUGAAAUGAUAUAAAAAUAUUUAUUUAAAAAAAAACCAAAUUGAUAACAAGUAUGACUAAAUAAUGUAAUUUUCUAACUACUUUUUCUUUUAUAUUUCAGUUCCUUCAUGGAUAUGAUAGACAAAGGCAAAGGAAAUGAAUUCAUCAUCGAUUUGAAGGAUGAAGACUUUGACUACCAAUAUGAUAGUAAUGUGAAAACUGAGUUUGAUGAAGAGUCCAUGUUAGGAAUCUUCACAUUUUUUUGUACUCUUCCCAAAAUUUCAAGUAUUUUUAUGUUUAAAUUUUUUUGUGCAUAAUUUACAUCAAUCAUAAGUGUAAUUAGUAUUUUUAAAUAAUAUCAUAACUAUUGAAAGUGGGAAAAAAUUCUUAAAAAUCAAAGAAGUCAAAAUUUUGGAGGAUACGAAAAAUGUAAGAAAUCCUUAUAUUCUUUGUACUUUCUCUUUAUUUCAUGUUUUUUUUUAAAUUUUGAUAUUUUUCUCCUAAUAUUCCUUCAUUUGUGACUCAAUUAAGCUAUUUUAUUGUUAUUUUUAAUGAAAAAUUAAAUCUUAAAAAUUUUUCAAAUAUAAAAUUUGGAGGAUAGGAAAAAAAUGUGAGAAUGUUACAAAUCAUACCCUUUUCAAUUUAAUUUUUUUAGCCAAAUAAUCUAUCAUUCUUGACUCAGUAAAGUUGUUUUAUUGUUAUUUAGAGUAAAAAAAUAAAUCCUAAAAAUGAUCAACAUGUAACAUUUUUAUGAUUUUUAUUAUAAAGUGUUACUAGGAAUACCAUCUUUUUAUGAUUCAAUUUUACAUUCGUGAAAUAAGAGUAAUAGUAUUGUUUGAUGAGUCAUGCUAAAAACGACUAAAUUAAGUUUAUAUGGUUUUUAUAAUUAUAUUCAAAUAUGUUAUAGCUAAUGUUAUAUAAAAUAUAAUGGAAUUUAAAUGUGUUGUAGUUUUAAUUUCAUAUAAUUAAUCAAAUUUUUUAUAAUUGAUCAUGGUCCAAUUACCUAAUACCUUUGUUUAACCUAUGCUCAAAAUGUUGAAUAUCAAUACAAAUAUUAAUUCCAUAUUAAAACAUCACCAUAUUCAUUUUUAUGUUCGUAAAAAUCAAUAUUCAUGAGGAGCUUACAAACUAAGUGAAUUCAAAUGUUUUACAAAUUUUAUACCAAUUUCAUUUUUAUUUUUAUCCAAUUCUAUUUUUUUUUUAUCUCAUUUAAUUAUUUCAUAUAAACCCAAAAUUGUUUGUUUAAAUACAAUUAUCCAUUAUCCAUUCAUCUUGAAACCCAUUUAUCUCAUCUCAUCAUUUCAUCUUGAAAAAUGAAUGGAACGACUGUUUCCUGCCAAAUAAUGGAUCCAAUGGCUACUAUGUGAUGAGGUGUGAUUGGAUGUUUUUGAUAUAUUCCAACGGCUACAAUGAUGAAUGUGAAGAGAAAAAAUGGAAGAAAAUGGACAAAAUGAAAUCAUGAGGGAGAGAAAGAAAGAGGAAGAAGAGACAAAUGAAGAAGAGGGAAUGGAGGAACCAGUUACUCCUUUAAUAGGUUAUCUUGUUUGUUUUUUUUUUUUUUUUAAAUUUAAAAUGGAUGGCCAAGAUCUAAUGACUAGAGAAUUUUUUUGGUACUAUAGAAUUUUCCAUCCCAUAAAUCCUAUUACUUUUCCCCCACAAUGGGUAAGCCAAGGGGAAGAAGUGUGUUUUGGUGGGAGAGUUUUGAAAAUGAAGGGAAGAAUCCUUAAAAAAAAAAAAAAUAGAAAAAUAAUUUUCUCUUUGAUUUUUACAUAAAAAUAUAUAUAAAAAAUCAAAUAUAAUAAAAAUUAAUUAAAAAUUUAUAAAUUUUUAAAUUAUUUAAUCUUUAUAGAAAAAGUAAAACGAGUUUGAAAUAUCGUAUAAAAAUAAUUUAUUAACUUUAAAUCAAUUUAUUUAUUUUUCCACUUUUUAUUUCCUUUCACUUUCUUUUUAUUUUAUUUCUCUUAUAUAUUCCCUUAAAUUUUUAUGAACCAAAUAUAACUUAAAAGCUUAAUAUAUCCCAAUAAAAAAAAUAUUAUUUGCAUUAAUAUUUAUAAUCCACCUUUAAUUUAAAAAUAUGUAAAACAAUAAUAGAUAUUUUGUGUUGGACGUCAUUUGUCUUAUCCGGGCUGAGCCGUGGAGUAUAUUUGGCUCUGUGGGAUGCUCGAGUCCGGAGACUACACGUUUCCCCACAAAGUGGCCUCCCCAGGAUUUGAACUCAAGACCUUAAGGUCUUUUGGUUUGCCCUNNNNNNNNNNNNNNNNNNNNNNNNNNNNNNNNNNNNNNNNNNNNNNNNNNNNNNNNNNNNNNAUUUUGGAAUCACAUAUUUUGGCAUAUUAAAACACAACUUUUCCCAUGGAAAAAGGCAUGAUGGUCCAAUUACCUAAUACCUUUAUUUAACCUAUGCUCAAAAUGUUGAAUAUCAAUACAAAUAUUAAUUCCAUAUUAAAACAUCACCAUAUUCAUUUUUAUGUUCGUAAAAAUCAAUAUUCAUGAGGGAGCUUACAAACUAAGUGAAUUCAAAUGUUUUACAAAUUUUAUACCAAUUUCAUUUUUAUUUUUAUCCAAUUCUAUUUAUUUUUAUCUCAUGAAGGGCAACUCGGAGGUGGACUCGACGGAGUCGGGCAAGCCAUGGACGGGAGGCAGAGGCAGUGGCACCAUGGUUACAAGUGAUGAUAAAUUUGGAGCAAUUUGAGAGAGGCGACAAAGGUUUUUAGGGGUGGAGAGAAGGGAAAUGCGGUGACCCAUUUGAACUAAGUGGUUGGAGAGAUGAAAAAAAGGCAAGAAGUGGCCAAAUGCCAGCCAUGGAAACACAGCUAUGUGAAGCUUCUGAUGCUCCUUCUUCAUCUCAUCCAUGGCAAUAGGGUUGUGAGUUGUGAGAGAAAUCAAGAUUCAAGACUUCUAGGUAGAGCAGUGAUGUAAAGCUGAAAAGGAGUUGUCAUCGUCAUUAAUGCGGUGCAUAGAUACCGAGCAAGGGAUACCCAGACAUUUUCCUAUAGAGUUCUGUUACUUUGCCACACAAUGGGUAAGAAAAGUAUGUUUUGGUGGAAGAGAGAAAAGAAAAAAUUAUUUUAAACAGAUUUUUCCUUCACAAAUAAUUUUAAAAAAUUAUUCUCAUAAACCAUUUUUAAAAAUUAUUUUCAAAAACACUUUUCAAACAAAUCUUUAUAUUUGAUUUCAGGAUCUCUCGUAUUAGUUUACUAUAUUCAUAUUCCUCUCAAAGAUAUUAUCAGCAUUAAUAUCUAUCAACCACCUUUAAUUCAACCAUACUUAAACCAAUAAAAGACAUUUAAAACAUACUUUUCCGGGUAGGGUCUCAAUUAUUGAGCACGACAAAGAAAUUUUGAAAUGAUAAACAAUGUUCAACAAAGUCGUGGUGGAAAACUAUUAUCUAACAUAAAACAAUUUCUAUAUACUAAACUAAUUUAAAAAUAUGGGUUUUGAUUUGCUAAUUUGAAAAAAAAAAAAAAAAACUUAAAUUAGUUUUGUCUUCAUUCAUUUAAAAAUAUUUUAAAAUAUAUGCACUUUUUCAUAACUCAAAUAAUUAUUUUCUAAAAUACCCUUUUACUUUAAUAAAAGUGUUUUAUAAAUAAAUAUAUUAUAAAUUUUUUAUUACAUAUGAUACGAUAUAAAAUCAUUAUUAAUUAGGGAAUUGGUUCUUUCUCCAUAUAAAAUCAUUAUUAAUUAAAACUAAAAAUUAAAAUUUUAAAAAUAAAAUAUUUACUCAUAUUGUAUUUUCAAUUGUUUCUCGAUAUUUCUAUUUUCUAUCAGAGUAUUUUAAUUAAGUAAAAGUUAAUAUUUCAUUUUUAUAUUUUUAGCUUUUGAAGUUUUUUUAGUUUUAAUUUUUUAAUUUUCUUAUUUUAUUAAUCUAAAAUCACUUAUCAUGUUACAAAAAUUUGUUAAUUGGUGUUAUUAACAUGUAAAAGGAUCAUUUUAGGAAAUAAUUAUAUGAAUUAUGGAAAAGUGUAUGUAUUUUAAAAUAUUUUUAAAUAGGUAAAGAUAAAUAUGAUUUAUAAAAUUUUUAAAUUCUUUUUUUCUUUUAUAUUUUUACGAAAUAGUAAGUCAAAACCCAUUUUUCCUUAAAUUAAUUACAUAAAAUAUUUUUUCUUCGAGAAUUUGUUUUAAAAAUAUAUUAAUUUAAAAAUAAUGUAAAAGAAUAAAAAAAAUAUAUUGCAAAUUUUUAUAUCAUACAUAAAUGUACACUAAUCUUAUGGAGAAUAAACUAAAAAAAUAAAUUGUUUUUCUCGAUCAAAAUUUUGUUCCUAAGAAUAAUUGAAAAGUAUAUUUAAAAAUUGUUAUCUAAAAUAUUGUCCAUUGCAUUCUAAAAAAGUUUUUGAAAAAACAAAAACAUGUAAAAAUUUUAGAAAUUAUUUCUUAAAAUAUGACUAUGGACCCCGCAUUUUCUCUCAAUGCGUUCCCACUCGAUGGCGAAACUUGCUUUUUAUUUAUUUUGAGAAAAUUUGAUUUUUUUUGAAAAAAAAAAAAAGACAUGGAGUCGCCACUUUUGUUUUUAAGGGAAAAACAAAAUAAUAAAGAAAAACCCUAAGUGUGACUUCUAAAAAAAACAGGUUUGUGAAAAACCAACUCUGGGUUUGGGGUCAGGUUACUUAUUGGAAAGGUACGGUGGUGAGCCGUAACACCCCUCUAAGCUCGUAUACAUACGGUCUCUACUAAACGAAUUAAGGGAAUUGUGACAAUUAAUUAAUUAAUUAUGGAUACUAAGAAAAAUAAUCAUGUAAAUGAGUAUGUACAAGUCAUGAUGAAAAUUAAUAUACACAAAUAAUGAUGAAAUCUAAUUACAAGAAUACACAAAAUAAAUGACAAGAGGAUUAUGCAAAAUGAUUUAUUGAACUAAAUAAAAAGAAGAUAUUUUUUUAAAAAAAAGUUUUCAAGAAAUUUCAAAGGAUUUUAUAAAAAAAUGAUUUCAAUUUAUUUAUUUACAAAAAAAAAAUCAAUUUAUUUUAUCAAUUUCAUUGGUAUUCAAUUUUCAAAAAAUUACACUUAUUGUAUCAAAAGAAUUUAUUACUAAAUUUCAAUUUGCAUACAAAAAUUAUUUUUUUGCCUUUACUAGAAAAUAAUGAAUUUUUACAAUUUUAUUUAUAAAAGUAUUUCAAUUUGUUUUCAUUUAAGAAAAGUGAUUUGUACAAAUUAUUUAAAAUAAUAAUAAUGAUACUAAUUUUAUUUGCAAAAAAAAAAAUUAAUUAAAAAGAAGAAAAAGAAAAAGAAAAAUUAAAUUCUUUAUUUUUAAAAAAAUGACUUUUAAUCCAAUUUUAAUUAAAAAAAAGAAUUUAUUUAAAAAAACAUUUUUUGGACUAUUUUUAUUAAACAAAUAAAUUUUUGGACAAUUAUUAUUAAAAACAAUUUUUCAAAUUCUAUUAAAAACAAUUUUAUGGAUUUUUCUAAAAUAAUUUUUCUGAAUUUUUAUAAAUAAAAAAAAACUUUCUUUUUAUUAAAAAAAAAUUAAAAUUAUUAUUUUAUUGAAACAUAUUUACUAAAUUCUUCCUCUCAUUUAAACAAAAUUUUAGGUUUGUUCGAUGUUCAACUUUGUACACACUUAAUAAAUAUAUACAAACAAAUAUUUACAAAAACUAAUAAAAAUAAAACCAAAUAAAAGUGAGAAAUAAAAUAUGUAUCCAAAUAAACUUACAAUAAGUCCAAUGUCUUCUUACAGUUUUUUCAAUCUCACUUUCCAUGAAAUUCCAUGCUCCAUAUGUCAUAAAUUUGUACUCAACCAAUAGAAUUGUAGAAUAUACUCAUGCAAAAACAAAAAUAACACAAAUGUAAAUAUCCAAAAAUAUAUAAAGUUCAAAAUAAUUAUUCAAGCCCAAAUUCAAACCUCAAAUUAGUCUAAUAAAUUUCAUCAAUUAAACAAAAAUAACCCAACAAAAAUAUUUCACAUAUCGUCUACCCUAAUCUAAAAUUCCCAAAUUAAUAGUCAAAAUAUAAGCUCAAUUAAUCAAACUCAAAACAUGAUAAAUUAAAAUAAAUCUCAUUAUGCCUAAAUUUAAUAUUCCAUAAUCCAAGCUUAAUUUAAUAUACAAAAUAAUUAUCCUAUGUCCAAAUUAAGUAAGUCAAAUGGGUCAAGCUCAUAUCAAAUAUUCAAAUCAUCCAACAAAUCUCACCCACAUUGUGGGCCCAAAAUCCAUAUCAAUUAACAAACCGACAUCAAUAAUAUACAUGGCCAAAAGAAAUAACAUCUCAAACUCAAUCCAAUAAGGUCAAACACAUAACCAAUUAACAAUAGGCUCAAGUCCAAACAAACAAUAUGCUAUUGAUACAAUUCAUAUAUCUCAAAUUAAUCACCAAAUGCAAUAUAACAACAAAUCCAAAUUAACCAAUUUCCAAUUAACCCACCAAUAAUAAAUUAACUCAAAUUUCAUAUUAAUUCUCCAAUAACAAAUUAACUCAAAUUUCAUACUAAUUAACAAAACUCAAACAUAAGAUCCACAAACAAACAUAAAUGCACAAGCCCAAUUUCAAUAAUAAUUCCUAUUAAAAUCAAAUAAAGAAAAAUGAAGAAAAAAAUAGUAAUAGUAAUAAUAAUAAUAAUAACCGAUUGUCGGAAAAAAUGGGUGGAAGGGAAGGUGAUCCCCGACUGUUGGAAAUGGCAUUGUCGAUGGCAGCUCGCCGACGACGACUAACCGGCCAUGGAUAUGGAAAUGGGUUUCACAGGAAAUUAAAAAAAAUGAAAAAAUAAAUAAAUUAAAGGAAGGAAAAAUGAGGGGGCGUGUGGCAGUGUGCGGAAAAAGAAGAUGAAAAAAAAAAUGGAGAAUUACCCAAAAGGGUGGGUUAGAAAAAAUAAUGACUAUGAAGGCUCCCUCUUUUAGAAGACAAUUUUAUUCUUGAAUAUGUUUUUUAUAUUAUUUAUAAAUAAAUUGAGAUUGUCAAUGAUGUAAGGCUCAUACAUGAUGAUAAGUACAGGUUGAUAAACAAUCAACGGUACAUUUUUCAACUUGAAAAAAUUGUUGUCACUUUUGAACAAUUAACUGUUUAAAAAUUUGCUAUUUUAAAAAAAAAAUUGAGAUUUUUUAAAGAACCUUGUAAAAAAAAUAAUUUUUAAUAUCUCAUAAAUAAAAACCAUAUCCUAAAGUUAUUAUAUCGUUUUAUAUAUAAAACAUACAAUUAAAAACUUUGUUAUCACAAUAUAAUAAAUAAUUAUUUUUUACGAGCACUCAUCAAUUGAAUAAUAUAUAAAUAUUCAAUUGACUAACACACACCUAUUAAAUGGAAUAACUCACAAUUAUUCAUUGGGUAAUAUAGCAUGUGAAAAAAUUAAAUAAAAAUAAAUUAAAUUAUGUUGUAAAAUAUUGUAAUGAUAGUGUAUUUAUAUUGUAAGUAUAAUGCAUUUAUGUCGUACCUAUAUUUCAUUAUAAAAGUAAUAAUUCUAAAAAUGUUUAUUCAUACCCUAAUGGUAUUAACACAUCGUAUUAAUAUAUUAACAACAUUUAUUUAGUGUUUUGAAAUUAUUUAAUAAUUUUUGUAUAUAUAUAUAUAUAUAUAAACUACGUGAAUUCAAAUUAGUAUUUCAUUUUAUUUCAGAAAUUAUUUAUGAUAUAGGUAUGUUGUGAAAUAUGGUAUGAUCAUACAAAAUUACCAUUUUUAUAAAAAAAUUCAUAAAUUUCUUAAUUAGGUUUUAUUGUAAUGUAUUGUAAUAUAAGUGUAUUUAUAUUGUAAUUAUAACAUAUUUUUGUUAUGCCUGUGUUUUAUAAUAAAAGUAAUAAUAUUAAGGAUCACCUUUUAUACCUUAUUAAUAUUCAACAUAUCAAAUAUAUUAACAUCAUCCACUCGAUACAUUGAGAAAAAAAUUUAUAUGAAAAUUAAAAAAAAAACACACUAUGCAAAGGAAAAAAAAUCAUAUAAAUUUUUUUUAAUUAUUUUAUUAUAAAAAUAAAAAAUAAUUAAACAUUCUCUAUCAUUUUCUUAUUCUUUUUAGAGAAUAUGAAUGAAAAAUUAAACAUUUUAUCUUCCUUAAAUUUAAUACAAAAACAUAAUUUAUCAAUUUAAAAUUAUAAUAUAUAUAUAUAUAUAUAUAUAUAUGAAAAAAUCAUCAUUUUUAUUAUAUAAUUAUAAAACUUAUUUUUUUCUUCAUAAAAUUAAAAAUUAGAAUAAAAAUAAAAAAGGUAAAAAAACAAUAAAUGAUAUUUUGAAAAUAUUUUUUAAAAGUAUUUUUGUUUUAAAUAGUAAAUUUAAAUAACAAAUUAUAUAUAAUUGUAAGGGUUAAACCCAAAAUUUUAAUUUAAAAUUUAAAUAUUAAUAAUUACAAUAAAUGUGGGACCCAUGUAUCAUAAAUAUAUUGACAAAUCAAGUGAAGUGUUUUAAAUGCUUUAAAUUUUAAAAGUUUUAGUUAAAAGGCAGUUUUAGUAUAUUAAGCCUAUUAAAGUCCUCCCCAAGAAUUAUUAAAAGAUAUCACUCUUUCUAGUAAUUGUUUUGCCCAGUCCACCCUUUUGGGUAAUUCUCCUCAAAAAAAAUGGAGAAGGAAAAAAAUCUAGGCCGACGCGUGGGAGAUAGGAAAAGGAAGAAAAUAACAAUGGAAUAAAGAAGCUGGGGAGAUGGGCAGCCGAGGGAGAGAAGAGUGGUCUCGUCUGGUUUUUUUGGAGGAAGAAGAUGAAGGAGAACAAGGAAAAAACCAAAUGGGUAAGAAGAAAAGAAAUAAAAUGAAAUAAAAAAAUGGUAGAAGAAAGGUGAGGGGAGCAUGUGGUGACGUGGGGGUAUGGGUAUGGAAGGAGAGAGAAAGAGUGGGUGGGUGAGGGCAAGUAGAAAGCAGAGAAAUAAAAUGAAAUAAAAAAAAUGGUAUAAGAAAGGUGUGGGGAGCAUGCGGUGACGUGGAGAUAUGGGAGGAGAGAGAAAGAGUGGGUGGGUGAGGGCAAGUAGGAAGAAAGAGAAAUAAAAUGAAAUAAAAAAAAAAUGGUAUAAGAAAGGUGUGGGGAGCAUGUGGUGACUUGGGGAUAUGGGGAGGUAUGGGAGGAGAGAAAAAGAGUGAGUGGGUGGGAACAGGUGGAGAAGAAAAAGGAAAAGAGGAAAAAUAAAAUAAUAAAAUAAAAAAUAAAAAAUAAUAUAAUAUAAUAAUAAUAAUAAUAAUAAAUAAAAUGAAUAAAUAAAAAUAAAAAAAUAAAUAAUUUACGAAAUAAUGAAAACUAAAAAUUAAAAGAUGAAAGGAUGUAAAAUAAUAUAUAUAAUUGAGAUUUAAAAUUAGACUCAAAAUUAAUAUAAAAUUAAAAUUUAGACAAAUUUUGGGAUCUAUAAUGAUAUUUAAAAAAUUAGUUUUAAAUUUACAACAAUUUGUGAAGUAUCAAACAAGAGAUUAUUUUUGGAAUAAAUAACUUAUUAAAUUUACAUUAACUUUUUUUUUUAAUAUUACUUAAAUAAAAUGUAGCUAAAAUUGUUUAUUCAAGAGAGAGCAAACCUAAGUGCUAUCUAUUUAUCUAUUAGUUGCUUUUCAACCACUAAACAAAUUAAUAAAAAUUUCAACACAAGAAGCAUUGGAUUUGAUGUAUCACUUGUUCUUGGAUAGCAUAAUUGGAUGAUUCAAAAAUCAUGGUCUUGGAUUGAAAAAUAUUUUUGUCAAAAAGAAAAUCCAAUCUUUUCCAAAUGAAUUGAGAAAUUGGAAAAAAAAAUGAUCUUAUUAAAAAAUUUAAAGUUAUUCUUGAAAAAAAAAAAUUAAAGUUUCCUUUUACUCGUACACAAAAGCAGUAAAAAUAUGAAAAUGUGAUAUACCUUUAUUUCCAAGACAAAUAAAGUUGAAGUCAACAAAUCAAGUGGAUUUGGUUAAUACCAAUUCACUUUCAAGGACCCGAGUGAACUCGUCUAAAUAUUUGUUUUGCAACUGCACAUUCCCAAAUAUUUCCUUCAUUGCCCAUGCAUUUCUCUUGAGUUGUUCUCCUUCUUCUUCCACCAUAACUCGUCUUAUUGACUCACUUACCGAGUCACUUGUAAAUGAUCCAUCUUGCUCGUUCCUCGGUAUUUCCAACCCGACCUGCUUACCUACUAGGAGUCUUGCCAUCAAACCUUGAUCCGAACAAGCCCCAGGGAAAAGAAUCAACACACGACCCGACCCAAGAGCCUCGGUCACAGAACUCCAUCCACAGUGGGUUAAGAAACCACCGAUUGAUGGAUGGGCCAUGAUCCGCUUUUGUGGAGCCCAACCGACCCAAACUAAACCACGACCAGAAACCCGAGCUUCGAAACCUGUUAUAAUCAGAACUCCUUCAUCUCGUCCUGACUCAGAGUCAACUCAGUACCGAGUGCAACGUAAAGGACGGAGUUUUCGGUUUUCUUGUCCAGCCAUUGUUUUAACAAGUCCCAGCUCUCGUCCCUCUCGCCGUCAUUGGCCUCCGCCGGAAGCAACCCCACAGGAAUGACCGGCUUCCGGUAGAGCUUUUGAAGGAGACUGAGUGAGUCAGACUCAAACUCAGGACAGCUCCUGAUAGCCACGAAUCGGCAGCCUUCAAUCACCUUUGCGAAACGGAAGAAAUCGGAAGCAUCCGAGUCCAUGCAUUCCUAGUGGUAAAUAACCUCGUAUAGCCUGAAAGCGACGUUGGACGGAAACGGGAUCCACUCAGGUACCACAGUUAAGUCCUCCAACGGCUGUUGAUCGCGGAGGAGAAUCUCCUCCGGCGAGCCAAGGAAAGCGAGUACGCUGGCAUUGAAUAUGCUGAAGAAGACUGAGUUGAUACCGAGUCGAGUGGCUACUUGGGGCAACCAGUGGGGAACAAAGUCAUGGAUGAGCCAGUUGACAUCGGAGUUCUGUAGAAACUCAGUGAGAGGAGGUUGGAGCUGAUCGUACGCUCGUUUCAGAUACGGGACUAGGCGGAAGGGCAACUCGGAGGUGGACUCGACGGAGUCGGGCAAGCCAUGGACGGGAGGCAGAGGCAGUGGCACCAUGGUUACAAGCGAGGAUAAAUUUGGAGCAAUUUGAGAGAGGCGAUGGAGGUUUUUAGGGGUGGAGAUGAAUGAAAUACGGUGACCCAGUUGAGCUAAGUGGUUGGAGAGACGAAGAAAAGGCAGGAAGUGGCCAAAGGCCAGCCAUGGAAACACAGCUAUGUGAAGCUUCUGAUGCUCUUUCUUCAUCUCAUCCAUGGCAAUGGUGAUGUGAGGUUGAAGAAGAGUCGUCACAUCAUAAAGUAGUAUCGUAGAUAGUGAUUCGUGAGCAAGGGAUGGCCCACCACAGUCUAUUGCCGCGAAUCACUCCUAAACAUUAUCCUAAUUAGGUGAAAAUUCAAUUAUUCAUUUAUUGGACAUAACAGCACGAUUUUGACACUGUAUCCAACAAAUUCAUGUUCAUACGAAAAUACAAAAAUAUCUUUUUGAUGAACUUCCUAAGCUACCCUCCUACUCUUCUAAUAAAUUGUGUGUGAUAGUGAUAAGUUGGACAAUUUUGUAAAAAAACACAAAAAUUAAAAUAUUUUUUUAAAUAUAGAAGUUAGAAAAUUGUUUUCAAAUUUAUAACGGUUGGUGAGGAAUCAAAUAAAAAUUGUCUUUUGAAAAAAACAACCCUAAUUUAAGUAUGAUGUAACUAUACUGAAGUUAUCUCUUUUAAUUGACAACUUGGAAUUGAUAUUUCAAAAAUUGGGCUACAAAUUUGAAAAUAUUUUUGCAACUACUAUAAAUCUUAAAUGAUUUUUAUAAUUACCUCUUUUUUACAAUUUUAUGUAUAGUAGAGUAUGGGUGGAAGCUUGUUUGAGAACUGUUUUUAAAGUCAAUUUUCUGUUUUUAAAAAUAGAAAAUUAAUUUCCACACUUGAAAAUAAGUUUGGCAAUUUUUUGAAAAUAAUUUUUGAAAAUUUGUUCUUGAAAUAAAGAUUUCAUUAGAACAUAUUUUGAUUGUUUUUUAAUAAUUACUUUAAUGAAUGAUCAUACAGUUGAACAUAAAGUAUCAUAUUAAUUAUUUUCUAAGGAUUAUUUUAAUAAAUAAUUAUAUAAACAGCAAUAAUGAUUGAAAAUAAAAUAUUAUAAUAAAAAAUUAUUUAAAAACAAAAAUUUGAAAGCAUAAUACGUUGAGAAACGUUACGAGGACGGAAAUUUGAUGCAAACAUCAUUAAUAAAAAAACAUAAAGAUAAAAUAAUUAACGCAAACAGUACACGAGAUUUUAACAUAGUUCAUCUAACCAUCACUACGUUCACGGAUAAAAGAGAAUCAUUUUAUUAUAUUAUAGAAAAUAUUACAUAAAAUAAAACCAAAUACAAUUAUUGAGUUGUUGAAACAUCUCAUGUUAAUUUUCCCACUCUUCGUAUCCCUAUCCUACAUGAGCGCUCUCGCUCCACCAGGUACCUUCAAUUCUUCCUCAUAUUUCUAUUUACCUCGUAUAGUCUUUACAAACCUAUCUUCAGCUCAUAACUUUUUCUCUUCAUAACUUAAAAUAUUUAUAAAGAUAUUUCUAACAAUCUUUCUUACUCAAGAAAAUCUAAUAUUACAAUAAUAUAUUAACCUAAAAAUAUUCUAUAUAAAAUUCCUUACAAAAAAAAGAAUUUAUAAUAAUUAGAAAUUUGGAACACUUCCUAACAAGAAAUUUUCAAAUAUACUUUUAUUCUAAAACACAACAUAAAAUUGUUUUGAAAAUUAAAUGAGUUUUUUUUAAAUUGAUUUUAAAAAUGUUGUCAAACAUACACGUAACCUCUUUUAUGAAAGAAAAUCGAUCUUAUCACUAAGUUGAAGAAAAUAGCUGUGAUAAAUGGUGCCUCACCCUUACUUUUGGUCUUAUAAAUGAAUUUUUUCAUUUUGGCUUCUCCAUGGCUAAAGAGAUCAGUUUAAUAUCAAAAAACUACUCUAGAGGAUAAUUCAUUCAUAGAAAAUCAAAAUAAAAUAAAAAGUGAAAUAUUUAUCAAUUUUCUUUACAAGACAUGAUUGAUAAAGUAGAGGUGCAACUUAAGCAAGCUGGUCUAUCCCAAUAGGAUGAUUGGGCGAGGUUGGGUAAUUAUUUUUAAUACUCGGGUUGAACUUGAAUUAGGUUUUUUCCACCCAAACUCAAUUUGGAAUGAGUUCAAGAAUAACUCAAGCCUAAUUAAUAUUUUAAAAUAUUUAUAAUAUAUAUUAUCUUAUAUAAUAAUAUUCAUUUUCAUUUUUCUAGAAAAAUAUUUAAAUUUAUGUUUUUUUUAUCUUGAAAUUUUGUUUAUUAUUUAAAUUUUCAUAUAAAUAUUUAAUUAGAAUUUUUUUUAAAUAUAUAUAUAUAUAUUAUAGAUGAAUUUUGUGUUAUGCAAUACAAACUUAACCCGAUCAACUAAGUUUGAUGCAAUUAACCCAAGUUUAACUUGAGCAACUCAAACUCAAAUAAAACUAAAAAAAAUGAUAUUGGAUUAAGUUUAGGUUAAGUAUUUCAAGUUAGAGAUCGAGUUUGGUUAAGGUCGGAUUAAUUAUUUCUUAACUUAAAUUAGAUUUAGGUUAAUCAUCAACUCGAACAACUUAGACAAGUUACAACCUUGAGAUAAAUGGGAGAAAGUCAAACACAUAAUUCAUCUUGAAACUUGUAAGAAUUAGAAAAACAUAAAGGAGAUUAUACUAGUUUAGCAAGAGAGAAACAUGCCUCUCCCUUACUUUUGAUCUCAUAAAUGAAUUUUUGACUUUCCCCAGCUUAAUAUCAAAAAAUUAUUCAAAAAGAGACAAAUUCAUUGGUAAAAAAAAAAAAAAAAAAAAAAGAUUCAUCAAAUUUCAUUGUCAAGCAAAUUAGAUAAAUGAGAGAGUCAAACACAUAAUCCAUCUUGAAACUUGUAAGAAUUAGAGAAACCUUAGCUUGAGAGAGAUUCAUCUUGAUAAGAAUUAGAAAAACAUAAAAGAGCUUAUAUUGGCUUGGCUUCAGAGAGAGACAGAGACAGAGAGAAUUAGAGAAACAUAAAAGAGCUUAUACUAGCUUAGCUUGAGAGAGACAUAAAACAGCUUAAUUAUACUAGCUUAACUUGAAAGAGAGAGAAUAAGGAUUAGAGAAACAUAAAAGAGCUCGUACUAGCUUAGCUUUUGAGAGAGAGAGAGAUGCUUGAGGGGUGACAGAUAGGGAGUAAGCACACAGAGCUUCAAGCAUAGAAACUUCAUGCAAGAAAAGAACCAUGAGUGCUCACUCUCCUCUGUCACCUACCAUACAAACCUAUAGUCAUAUAUUCUUAUAUAUGAUUCGAUCUUCAUCACCAUCUUCUGCAACGGUGCAACCGUGGAACCCUAGCAGAUGCUCUUCUGUUAAAUGCUCUCUCUGUAACCUCAAAGAUCCAUACGAGAAGGAUCUUAGAUAACUGAAUGAAAGAACUGAACUACUUUGGUUUGAUGGGUUGAAGAGAUGAUGGUUUCUCAGAGCUUUAUAUAGAGAAUGAAAAGGCCGGCUAGCUAGUGAUGGUGGUGCCUUACAUCACAUAUGGAAUAAAAUGUGGAUUAUGGGUUUGAGCUCUUAUUCGUCUCUUUCCCUACUAGUUUAAUAACUAGCCAAGCCAAGAAAAAGAAACUCUAGGUACAACCCCAGCGAAUGAUCUUAUAUCUUUUUCCCUUUUUUUUUUACUCUAUGUGCUAGGGUUUCACUUUCAUGAAGUUUUAAUCACUGCAACCCCAAAGUUGAUCUAAUAGGCAUAGAAAGAUUAUCUUUGUAGCUAGGAAUUUGAUGCAUCGAUGAAAGUGAAUAUCACAUAUACUUGACUUGUGAUGUUAGAUCGGCUCUGAUAUCAUGUUAAACUACUAAUUAAUUAAUUAAUUUAUAGAGAUUAUAUAUUUCUUUUUCUUGUCGGUCAAAUAUCCUUGUGUCGUUAAUGGCAACAAUCCCGAUAAAAAGAUGAUUUGUGGGGUUCUAUUGAGUGAUGAGUAGAUGCAAUUAAUAUGCUUUUGAUCACAAAUGCCCAUUGAAGUGGAGUGUUGAGAUCCAGUGUUAAGGAAUAUUAGCUUCAAUGGUGGCUGAACCUUUUCCAUAGAAAAUUCAGGGGAGGAAUAACAGAAAGAAAAGAAAGUGUCUUUCCAGUAAAGCAUCCACAAAUGGGAGAUAGACAGAACUCUAGGUCAAAUUGCAGUCAUGAAAAUAUUUUAGGUCCCCACCGUAGAAAAUUUGCAAUGGCACUAAGUAGCAUAUAUAAAGUAGAUAUGCUUUAUGUUAAUGAUUAAACUCUAUAACCAAGAACAAUAGAAAGAAAUGUUCACACCAUUCACUACAAAAGAAAGGUUUACAAAGCAGUUCGUCAUCCCUUUUCCACAUUCUCCUCUUGUUAUACCAUUGCUAUAAUAUUGCUAGAUAUGCUUAUGGUCAUCUAAAGGGUAAAGCAUUUUUUCAAGCAUUCAAGCAUCCAAGCAUUUGAUCCUAGAUUCGUAAUCGAAAAAGCUAAAUAAAUCAAUGUCGAUCAUUGUUGUAAUGAGGACCUGUAAUAUUCUACAUCGAGUAAAAGAAAAAGUUUCUACCACUAUUUAUGAAUAGGUUCUCUUAACCAUGUAAACAAGUUUUAAAACUGUAAGGAUUCUUUAUGUUCAGAGUAUACAAUGUCCACAUAGAUUGUUAUAAAUGAUAUCAAAAUUAAUCUUUAACCCUAAUAUAGGGAUUUGUUUAUCCUUAUAAGGGGUGUCUAUCUAUUUAAUCUAGCAUUCCAUAGGAUACAACGAGAAUAUCGUGUCUGUAUGAGAAGUGAUGAUAAUAUCCUACAUGAAGUUAUAUAUGUAUGACCUUUUAAUUAUAUAAAUGUGUCUUAAAAUCAUGAUGACUCCCUAAGCGUAAAACAAAUAAUAGAACGAUUCUCAAGUAUAUAUAUGGUCUUGUUAGUUCUAUACCUUGAUUUCCAUGUCAAGGAUUCUAUAUCGGUUAGUGAGAGAAGUUUCUAAUAUAACCCCUUUAUAUAUGAUGGAUUUCUUUGGGUUAGGACUCUCAAACUCUGUUUUAGACAUGACUAGUUAUCAGUUUCUUUGUAAGCAAAAGCUUAUGAAUGGAAGUUGUUAAUGGCUAGGAGUAAGGUGGAUGAUAUGAAACUCAACAUUAACCAUGUUUAACUCUUUUAUAAUCCUACAUUCAACCCAUGACUCAAGUCCCUAGUCUGCGAGAUUAAGAAGCCGAAAUAGUUAAGAAGAAGACUGUUAUUUUACUUUUUCUUCAACAGUUUAGAAAACAUAUAUACAAGAGUGUGAAAUUGCAUUCAAAUGAAAUUCUGCAAUGGAGUAAAAUCCUUGGAAUCACAAGCACAGAUAGCUUCAUCAAGUUGCCAUAAAGGGUGGAAGGAUGGCAGAAUUGGUGGCUGCCCCUUCAUCCCAUUCCAGUCCAUGCCACCAUUCCUUGCUGCCAUAGACUCUUGGCAGGGCCGAGACACCGUGAGUUUUGAGUGGCAGCUUCUUCAGUUUUGGACAGUCCAUCACUGCAAUCCUCUCCAAGGAAGGAAAAGCCAGAGCCUCCUGGGAUAUGCUUCUUAAUUGCGGGAGGUCUCGGAUGGACAUUGUUCUAAGGCUUGGAAAGGCCAUCAGGUCCUCCUCUAUCAUUUCAUCCCCACAUAUCAAUUCCUCCAUUUCACUGCAGUAGAAUAUGUAGAGUACUUCAAGCCUGGGCAGUUGUAAAAUCCAUGAGACAUUCUUCAACUUAUGGCAGUACCAAAUGCUUAUGGAUCGAAGAUUCUGGAGGCAUUCUCGAGUAACCGAGUUCCUCCAUACCCUGGUUAAGUUGGGAAGGCCAUGUAAGGAGAGAACCUCAAGGCUUGGCAGCCAGUUCCUUCCGGCCCCUACACCAAUCGCCAAGUACUUCAAAUCAUAGCAGUUAUUGAUGCUGAGCCGCCUUAGUUUCUUGCCAUCACCAGAAGCCGAUGAAAAUUGUAAAUAGAAUAACCCUUCACAUUCCUUGAUAUAUAGAUACUUUAUACACUUCAGCAGAGUGUUCAAACGAGAAAGCCUCCUCAGGGUAGUGGAUUCAAUUACAGUAAUCCCAAGGGUGGAAAGGUGUCUCAAGCCUUCCAAAUCUGCAAAGCUAGCAUCACUCUCAGGGGCAUCACAAUUGAGCGCUUCCCAGCCCCCAUAACUGUAAUAAAAAUUCAAGACUCUCAACUGGGAAAGUCUGGAUAUCGCCUCAUGUGGGAUUGUUCUAAGAGAAUGCGUUCGUUGCAGAUCCAAAAGCCUCAGCUUUGCCAGACUUCCUAGCUCUUUAGGCAAUGCAGUUAGCUUAGUCCCUGAGAGAUCUAGAUGACGCAACUCGACUAAUUCACCGAUGCUCACAGGGAUCUCUUUUAGACUGGUGAAUGACAGAUCCAGGACUCUAAGAACUGGCAUAAAAUGGAAAAACCCAACUGUGAUUCUGUUUAAACCGCUGUUCCAUUGAAGCAGCAAGGUUGAUAAGCUGGGGCAAUCUGGUAUUUCUGAUAGAGCAGUGAUCCCAUUAUCUAACAAUGAAAUCCUUUCUGCAAAUCUCCAGUUCUCUACUCUGGGUGCUUCAGUCAGGCCUAUGCUGGGCUGUAUGAGAAACUUCUUUUCAUUUCUCCCAUACCCAGAUGAUAUCCAUAAGGCAAAGCUUCGGACGACAUCAUGCAUCUUCACUUGGGUUUUCUCUUCACCAUUUUCCAGUAAGCAUGCAACUUUCAGAGAUCCAAUAACAGCAUGUCCCUUGUUCUGGACAUUACCAUCAUGGGAGCUGUCUAAAAAUCCCUCCCCAACCCAAUACUCUACAAGCUGUUCUUUCUCAAUGGAGAAGUCUUCAGGGAAUAAGGAACAAUACAAGAAGCAUGAUCUCAGCGUAUCGUUAUCCAAAUUGUCAUAGCUGAACUUUAAGAGAGUAAAGACAUCUUCCAUACCUCUGAGUUCUGAUGGAGAAUUGUCCAGUAGUUCUAUUGCAUACUUCCACUCCUCCUCUGUUUCUUUGUUUGCCAUGGCCCUUCCAAUUGUGAUUAAGGCAAGUGGAAGGCCUCCACAUUUUUUGACAAUCUUCUCAGCAUGAGGGCGGAUGGAGGAUAAAUCCAAGAGCUCCUUUUUACCUACUUUUUCUUGGAAGAGUUGCCAUGAUUCCUUCUCUUCCAAGAAUUCUACUUUCAGUUUCCUGUGAGCAUCCAUAUCACUGCAUACAUCCAUUGACCGGGUGGUGAAAAUCACCUUGCAUUUGUUUUGCUGGUCAGCAAGAGGAAUGCCAAUGUUCUCUAGAUCAAGUUCUUCCCAAACAUCAUCCAGCAAUAGUAAGAACCUUUUCCUUCUCAUUACCCGGCAUAUCUUCAAAGCUCGCUGUUCUUGAGUCUCAUCUUCUUCCCAAGACAACCCCAACCUUGCCCCAACAGCUUGUUGGAUCUUAUCAGCAACAAAGUCCUUAGACACCAAAACCCAUAUCACCACAUCGAAAUCAUGGGUUUUGGUAAGGAAUUCAUUGUUUAUGUUCUUCAAGAGGGCAGUUUUCCCAACACCCCCCAUUCCAUAAAUUCCAAUAAUUCCAACUGCAUCGUCUGCAAGGAACUGCCUAACCUUCUCCAACAUUACAUCUAGGCCAUACAUUGGCCUAGUAGGUAUCUCCUUGACUGCAUCAGGAGGUGAUCCAGAAUCGGCAACAGUAUCAAAGGUGCCUCUGUCCACAAGUUCUCCUACACCCCUGAGCUUCUUGGCAACUUUCGUGCUUAGCUUAUAUCUUGAAGAACAAUUUGCAUGGCAGCAACCCACACAUCGCCUUUGCUGCUGCUGCCUGAAACGUUCCUCCAUCACGCUUACUUCAUCUUCAAUGGCUUGGACCUCUUCUAACCACCAUUUCACCUGGUUUCUGGCUGUUAACCCGUUUAACUCAGCCUGGUCAACGCAUCUCUUCAGGUCAUCCCUUGUGUCCUUCAACUUCUUUAUUUCAGCUCUGAGGGUGUGAACCCUUUCAUCCAAAUUCCAAAAAUUGCUUAUCCUUGCGGCAACGGGUUUGCUCAAGCCAGAAAUGAUGCCAUUGAUGACAAUAGAGAAAACCUCCAUGGAUAAAAUACUCAAUAUUAUCUACACACAACGGCAAAGACCAGAUAAUACACAGACAAAAAACAUUCAAGAGCAGAAAGGCAUUAUUGCCAAGUCUUUCACAGUCUAGACCUGUCCUCAAUGUGACCUGAUCUUCAUCCAUUAGAGUCUAGGGCCGGCUUUCUUGAACACUCAAAGUUGACUCCCUUAUUUUCCAUUUGUAGACCCACUUAGAUAUUUUGAUUAUUCUUAUAAUUAAUGGUGGUAAUUUUAGACAGCAUAGCCACCACCAUUGACUACCAUUUUGCAAGGUUCCAUGACUGUUAAUCCUCAAGUUGAAAACAAGCCAAUUGACAACUCCAUUGUUAAUGAUCAAGUUGCUGAUUUUGUAAGAAGUUUUGACUUCCAUUUUUCGGUCAUCUCACAAUUUUUUAUCCUUAGACUAUGCAGUUAUAAUGUUUUUCAAAUGAAUUCUUUCAUUGAACCCUUUAAAAAGUAUAUCAUGUAUGAAUAUUCUCAGUUUUGUAAACGACUGUAAAAUCACUGCAGAAGAAGGAUAGGUCUUGUUUCUAUUAACGGAGUGCUCUAUUUUCUAACAGGUAUCAAGGCUCCCCUGAAACUUGCCUAGAAACUCCUUGUUGAGUUGGUUCCACACUUCUUAACAUUCCCUGUAGAAUCAGUUCUAAAAGAUUAUCACCAGUAUAAUCCCCAUAAUUUUCUGGAAGCAUUAGACAUCAUUGCACACUUUAAUGUCUUAAUUAGCUUCAACAUGAGUGAACCUGUAUUUUGUGUAUAAUAGUAAUUUAGGAUUUGGUUUUACUUGUGGCUUUAACCAUCUCAUCUUAAACUUAAUUAAUGUUGAGUAAGAAAUCUUGCCAAAACAAAAAAUUUAGCAUCCGACAUCCUUAGUAACCAUGCUCCACAUGAAUCCUAAGCCAAGGCUAUUUCCAAAGCUUUCUUGACACCCAUCUCAAGCAUAAAUGCUCUCAUGAUUUGAACCCAUAAUCCUUGACUCAUUUAUCAAUUUUAGGAUCGAAAUUUGGUCAUAUCCACCAAUGUCCAAUGAGGAAUGUGAAACCUUUGCGGCAUUGAACAUCAAGUCCUAAAUAAUAUUUAUAUGAAAGGAAACAAUUGUUCAACUCUUAAAUGAGUUUCUGUCUUCCUAAUUUCAUAAAAGGUGUCUGUUUAUUUAGCACUAUAAUUCGAUGAGACAAAAUGAGGACAUUAUAUUUGUAUGAAAGGAUGGUUGUAAUAUCUCACAUCGAUUGAAGGAAGAAGUUACUGACCCUUCAUAUGUAUUGAACUUCUUUCAAUUAUAUGUAUGUGUUUUAAAAUUAUAAAAAUCUAUUGAACCCAAAGUGAAUAAUAUCUACACAAGAAAGAGAGGAUCGCUAUAAAACUUCAUCCAUCCUAACCCGGGCCUGUUUCCAAGCACUUUUGAUCAGUAACAACAAUUCUCAAUUCAAACAAUGUUAGUGAUGUAGAUCAGUUGGAAAAAAAAAACAUGGUCUUUUAAACUUUAUAAUCCUUAUUGAAUUGGGAUCUAUUGGAUUAACUCAGCAACCUCUUCAUAAAGGAUGGUGGGAGAUCACUGAACAGUUGGAUAAACUUCCUUGAAUGGCAAAGGAGGAUGCAAUGGAAACUGGAGCCAGAAAGAUAGCUGACCUGUCUUUUAGAAUCAAUCCAUGCAGUUCUAUAGGUUUCACUUUAAAAAGGAAAAACAUUAGUAUCAUGAUGAAUGCAAACUUUUGGAUAGAUGCCGAGAAGAACAAAAUAAAUGAAUAGAUUUCAAGCAAGUUAAUGAUAUAAACCAUGGAACUUUCAGGGGCACCACAAUUUAACCUCAGAGCUGCAGCUCAGAUACUGUUAUCAUUGGAUUUCUUUGAUAAGUUACAAAAUCACCAUUCUUGGAGAACCAGAUGCUUAUUACUGAUUGAAGGUAGAAUUCUCUUCACAAAGAGGAUUAUUUAGACUCUACAAUGAACAAAAUUCGGUUCAUACAAUUUUGAUGUCAGCAGACUCUGUUCUCAAUACCCCCAAUCUUAUCCUAUAUCCAUGCAACCAUGUAUCCUAAAAGUAACAUUAAGGAUGAAGAAAGGUGCUGAGUUGCACCUAAGCUACAAACAAUUGUGAACUCAAGAAAACAACAGUUUGGAUCACUUUGAUGGCCGUUAUUGAUGAGAUGGCUGAUAAGAACUUUCUGAAAAAAAAAUACCCAUGUAUCUAGAGCAGCAUUGACUCUGGAUUCUCAAUAUAGCCUUUGAAUGCUUUCAACCACUCAGCACCAAUGGCACCUACAAGCACAGUAUGAACAGAAAGGUCAGGGCAUAAUAGUACCAUCACAUAACUGAAUGCACCAACUUGAAUGUUUUUUACAUCUUCAGGGGAUAUUUUGAAAAUAAAGAUGAGUAUGAGUCAAAUUCUCGCUUUUUGCAUUCAGUUAAGAUGGAGACCCACAUCCCGAUUCAUUUAAUGAUAAAAAGGUGAUACGAGUUCUUUAGGAGAUCAAGAAUACUCCAUUAAACCUCUCAUGAGAUUCCUAAAAAUGAACUUGAUGACUUGUGAAGAAACUACCUACCAUCAAUUACACGGUGAUCACAGCUCAAGGUGACAGGCAUGAACGAAGCAUACUUGAAUUGGUCAGGACCCACACCAGGUAUUACCCUCUUCUCAGCUGGUCAAGAAAAUUGUACAGUGCUUAGUAAAAGUAAAACAAAACUAAUGAUAGUCCAGGUAAAAGCAACAGGCCAACAGAAAAUGGAAGAAGAAGAAGAAGAAGAUGAAGGCAAUGAUCAGCUGCAGCAUACCAGACCCAACUGCGAGGAUGCCGGAUUGGGGAGGAUUGAUUAUGGCACAAAAUUGUUUGACUCCAAAUGGUCCUCCCAAGUUCGAAACAGUAAAGGUGCCUCCCUGCAUAUAUGAUGAUCAUGAAGUUCAUUUAAAAGACCAUGAUACAAUCAACCAUCCAUUGAUGGCCAAUUAGAAGGUAAUGCAGUUACCUCAUAGUCUUCAGAUUUCAGGCUGUUAUCUUUGGCCUUCUGUGCUAAAUGUUUGAUCUCUUCAGCAAUUUUAGAUAAUCCUUUCUUGUCUGCAUCCUGCAAAGAAACAGUACUGUUUCUCAAGCUUGUUGCAUACACUUACAAAUGGAUCUAAAACAAAGAAAGAAAACUAAAACCCACCCUGACAACUGGGACAUAAAGCCCAUUGUCGGUCUGAACAGCAACAUUUAUGUUCACAUUGUGGUACCUGAAUCAUUUGUCACAGUUAAAUAUGACAAUAAAUGUAACACCACUAAAUGGUUAACUUAUAAUAAAUACGAUAAGAACACACUGAAGCCUGCUACAAGGGUCAAGUGGGCUUGCUGAAAACUGAAGCACAAGCAAAUAGUAAUUUUAAAGAAGUUAUUUUCUUUCACUUCCUAAAAAAUAAACUUCUGGUAAGUUUUUAAGAAGAUUUGAAUUGUCUAUUUACUAUUGUUUUUAUACUCACUGGCGGAUGUAAUCAUUGGUCCAGGAACUAUUGCACUGAGGAACUUUGCGAAGAGCCAAAGCAGCAGCCUGUCAUCAAGGUCCCAUUGAAGUUUAUGCCACAAGCAUAAAAGUAUAAUUGAAAUGACAAGAAAUCUUUGAUCAUGAACAUUUGCAGUGAGUGUUAGAUGGUGUGAUGUGUUCUAAAGUUCCUCCAGAACAAAAAUAAUCAAAAUGCCAAUCUUCACAUCUCAGAAGUAAACUAUCUCAAUCUUAAAGACAACAUACCUUUAUGACAAGAUCAUUUACAGAUAUCCGCUUGCCACCUGAAGCUUCUUGGAGUGUAUUAAGCUGGCUCCGCAAUCUACAAUGCACAAGCAGCAAUUGUUUAGAUCAUACUCAUAAAAGGGAAAUUAAAAAGGAAAGAUGAACUUUUUGUUGAAUGCUCACUCCAUCAGCUUGUCAACACAAGUGUCCACGGUUAAAUAAUAAUGAGGAAUAGUUUGCUUUGAUAGCAGCAAGCGUGAAGCAGUGACCUGAAGAGGGUUUUGAAUAUCCAGAUAUCAGUAUCAUUAAGCUUGAUCAAUGCAACCAUCCACUAAUUUGGAUAAUUUCAAACAUAUUACCUUUCUUAUCUGAGUAUGAGGAAGGUCAGUGUAAUCUAAAGUUGCUGCCUCAGAGAAUGGUGUUGUGGCUUCCUUCCCAUAAGAAGCUAUGACAUUGUAAAAACACAACCAAGCAAAUUGAUUAACCACUAUGGUACUCAAAGAGUGAGAUUGUACCCAUGAUAUCUAAAAAAAGAAAAAUAAAAAAGAUAAAGACUCAGAAAAACCAUUCGUCAAAGUUAUACUUCAAUUGAAUAAUAAAAUGGUAAACAUCAAAUGAAAAUGAAAAUGAAAAACCAAGAAUUAUUUUGCUUAAGACCAAGAUCACAGUAGCAGCCAAAUCGACUCCUAAUACAGUGGGUAAGAAGACCUGAAGUGGUAUUAUUACCAUCUAAAUGUACUUGGAAAAUAAAAUAUUAAGUAAAAUUUAUAUUACUGCAUUAACUUAACAAAUAAAAUAUUUGCAUCAAUGGGGAAAAGGCACUCCUAUUUUAACUUUUCUUGCCAUACCAAACAUCUAUAUUCAUGCCAUUUCAUUUCUACUUAAGUACUUAAGACAGCAUUGUCUCCAUAAUUGUUGAUUAUCUAGCUAAAUUAAUCAAGCAAGUAACAGGAUAAUCUGCAAAAGCACAUAGAGAAAAGCAUACCCAAAUAAUCUUCAAUAUCAGCCUUCACAAUGCGUCCAUCAGGACCCGUCCCUUUGAUGCUUUGAAGAGGAACCUGAAUAAGGAAAGAGAUAUUACAUUAAACAUCAAAAUAAAACAUAAAUGCCUCAUGAAUAUAUAUCAUUACAAAAGCAAACUUAAAUGUCAUCAUAUGGAGAAAUAAUAAGGUCCCAUGGAUGGGCCUUAUUUUGGUGGUAGUAAUAAAAUUUUUACACCAAAAGAUGCAGUGACUAACAUUGUGAUCUUCAGCUAACUUUUUUGCAAGAGGACUGGAAAAAAUGCGAUCUCCUGCUUUGGAACUUUCAACAGCUUUUGAAACAUUUGGCUGAGGUGAACUGGCAGGCUUCUCUGCCACUUCUUUCAUGGGAGGAGGAGAAGCAGAUGACUUUUUACCCCCAUCAGCUGCACCCCCUUUUGGAGCUUCAUAACCCUUGAAUUUGGCAAUAUCAUCCUCCUCUUCAACAGUUAUAGCAAUCACCUAUGUUAAGAACAUAUGCCGCUUCAAACAAAAAAUCCAAACUUUAAAUGGCAAAUAAAUUGUUAAUUGCAAUAGAAAUGGUGCAUUAAUUUGAAUUGAAAGUCUGCAAAAUGUUAGAUCAUAUUGAACAUGCCUUUGAAGCAUGAAUUUCCAAUAGCCAAAGAAGUUUAUAAGAGUCAAAAGUAACAGAAGUAGAAUAAGUUCUUGUAAGGGAGUAUGUGAUUUAUGAAGACAGAAAGAGAAAAAAAGACCAAAGAACAUCUGUGAGUCAGCAGAUAAGCAUACAUUAUUGCACCAAAGUAAUCAGUAAAUUCAAGAACAAUGAGAUAAAAAAUGACAAAAGAAAUGGCAUAAAUGAUGCAAAACUUAAAUCCUAAAAGAAGCUUUUGUGUUGCAAACUGCAAACUAAAAAACCGAGGACACAAGUGCACUGGCCCAUCAUAUGACAAUACAAGUUAAAGAGAUCUAUACCAAUAUAUUUUAGAACUACGUGCUACUAAAACAAUAUGUCAGCAUUCAGAAGACUACCUGCCCAACUUUGAUCUCUUUUGCCCCAUCUCCAAGUACUAUCUUAGCAAGAUAUCCUUCCUCCAUGCAUUCCAUCUCAACAGUUGCUUUAUCCUAUAAAAUGAUUAAAAAUUUGACAGGAUGACUUUACAUAAACCUGGAUCAUUGAUCAACUAGUAAAUUUGAAAAAGGGGACAGCUACAAGGACCCUACCGUUUCAACUUCACACAAUACUUCUCCAGGAGAAAUUUUAUCUCCCUCUUUCUUCAGCCACCUCGCAAUAUUUCCCUGCAUGGCAACAAUACAUAAGCAUCUAGUUGGCAAAGACAACUUUGUACCCAGAAUCUAAAUGAUUUUGAAUGCUUCUAAAGGUACAUGCCUCUGUCAUUGUAGGGGAGAGAGAAGGCAUACCAAUCUCUUGGUGUGGAGGAAGUCCUGAGAAAACAUUGCAAAAAAUCUCAACAAUGAGGAUAAUGGAUGAUGCCAUUAUUAAUGCAUAAGAAGAGUAUUUAUAAACUCAAGCCAAAAAUACUACUCAUGAAUCAUGAUACAACAGAAUCAUCUUUGAUUCGAAAAGAAAAUGAACAAUCAUUACUAGGACACAAACAAUUUUUAAGUAAGAAACAGAAACAAAAAGUAAAGCACUCUUUCUCCUUUGAUUAGCAUCACAUUAUGAAACUAAGUUUUGAGAAAAAAGAAAAAAGAUUUUAGCAAAAUGGACACUGCAAUGAAAACCAUUUAUCUAAUGAAAUUGAUUAAAACCUGGACUUGUUAAAGGACAAACAAAGGCCUGAUGUACAAAUCAAACAAAGUAAACCGACCAUACCUGCAUCUGUUGCAAAACCUCUUAUCAGGUGCAUCUGCAAACUGAAGAAAUAACAAAAUUAAAAUAGAACUUUCACAUGUUAAGAUAGAAUCUAGUAAUCAAGCAUAAAAACAAACCAUGAAAACCUUUUGUUGCUGAUGGAACCAACCACUGGGAUGCCCAUUGUCUUUGCCAUUCUUGAAAUGUUCCCAUUGAAACCUCUAACCCAACCAACCUACAAAUGGAACAAAAUUACAUGUAAUCAUCUGUAUAUACCAAAAAGCAACAGCAUUGAUGCACACUAAAAUAAAAAAGAAACAAACCAAGAAAGUUACACUCACUAUAUAAAUAUUUGGAUCUACAGCUCUAUUAACCCCACUCAGUAGGCCAUCAGUAGAAGAGUUAAAACCUCGUCUUCGAAUCUCUAUAAGGUCUGAAAAGCAUUAUAAACCCAACAAAUAGAACAAACCUUAACAAAAUUUGAACAUUCACCAUCCUACUGCAGUUGAUCGAAAAUGAAAUCACACUCAAUUCAUCAACAUCAAAUACCCACCAUCUCCCUUACCAAUCGAAGAACAAGUUCCUCCAGAAAACCACCGAACCAGGAUUGCCGGCUCACUUCGCAGUACAUUGGAAGCAUUCCUUAUCUGUAAAACCCCGAGCCCAUUAAACUUUUCCAGAGAAAAAAUACACACAAUUCUCCCAGAAACCACCUGAUAGCUAAUUAAUAAUCACAAAACAAGUGAAAUAAGAGUAACAUUAUCAAAACAACGCCUUCAAAUUCAACAAGAAGAUCCAAUGAUCCCGUAAUACAAAAAUUAAAAACUAACCUCGUUUUAAUAAUUCAAGCUAAAGCAACAUAACCCACGAUUAAUUCCACAAAUUAAAUUCAGGGAAAAAAAAAAGAAGUCAAGAAUCAAGUAAAACAAAAAUUCUCAAAUGCAUGGAUACGAUACGUCAUAAGAGGAUUAGAGUAUGAUUGUUAACGUGGAAUUACCGAGAUUAGAAACAGGAUUAGGAAAAGCUAGUACCUUUCUGGAAUGGGUGAGGAAACGAGAUGCAUACAACAUCGUUUAGGGUUAGAUUCUGGGUUUCUGGCAGCGCUUCCUGAACCUAGAGAGAGAUUUAGGGAGAUCAGGCUGCCGUGAACUGUUCAUUUGCUACCUCCCCACUAAAAUGGAAUAUUUUUAAAAUAUAGUAAUAAUAAUUAUUAUUAUUAUAAUAAAAGUUUACAUGAAAAAUAAUAGAAACGACAGAAAAAAAAAAAAUAUAUAUAUAUAUAUAUAUAAUAAUUAAAGUUAAUAAAUUAUUUUUAUUCAUUAGUUUAAACUUAUUUUACUUUUUUUUAUUUCAUAUUUUGUUGCGUAAAGAUUAAAUAAUUUAAAAUUAUAUAAAAAUUAUUUUUCUAAUGUGUUUUUUUAAUAAUUUCCAAGAAGUUAAAAAAAAAAUUAUGGGAAGGAGCUAAAAUCUAAAUUUGUUUCAAUUUGACUAAAAAAUCUGUUUCAAUUCUUCACAUUUUUUGUUUAUAUGCACUUAUAUGUAAAUUUAAUAUUUGUCAUGGUUUUAUGUAAAAAUAAUUCAUUUUUUACAUAAAUAUUCUUAAUUAUUUCAUAUGUUUAUAUGUAAAUUUAAAAAAAAAUGAUUAGUUUUAUAAUAAAAUAAUUAUAAUAUUUUAUCAAAAUAAAAUAAAAUAAUAGGGUAGAUUUUCACAAUUGAAUAUUCAAUACCUUUUAACCAAAUAACCCACACCUUGAAAAUUGCAACUUUUGGACAGCAAUGUGGACCUUAAUGGCAAUUGGUGGGCUAGGAAGUAGGAAAGGCCAAAGUAUGUUGACCUUAAUGGCACCAAUGUUGGAUGCCUAAAUUCAUUGGGAUCUAGUUUCUGUGACGAAAAGGACAUCUGAUGGCCCAUAAUCGUGGCCAAAUAUUGACCAAACUCCAUGGUAUUUAUAUUUACACCCAUCGAAUAUUUGAACCCCUCCUAUUUACAUAUUCACUUAAAAAUAAUAAUUUUAUUAAUAAAUUCACCCAUAAUUUUAAAAAUACCUAAAUAUCCUAAUCAUUCUCCUGUUCUAUACUCUCUUUUUUUUCCUUUCCACUUAUUUAUUCUCGACCACAAAUCUUUAAGAGAAUUACUUUUUUUUUAAACUCAUUUGAUAAUAGAAGAGGAUUCGAAAUACGUUUAUAAUUAAUUCUAAUUUUUUUAUACAUUUUGUUUUAAGGGAAAAUUAUCUUUUGGAGGUAGAUGAGCCCCCAAAUUAACAAAAGAUCCAUAUAACUCUUCAAAUUGAGUUGAAGGAUAUGAAAUAGUAACGGACAAAUAUACCCUUUAAGAACACAUAUAAAAUAUUUUAUAAAAUUAAGUUAAAUAAUUUUUUUUCAAUAAUUUUUUUUUUCAAAAAUACUAAAUUAAAUAAAAGUAGUUUUCAAAAAUAUGAAAUUAAAUAAAUUUUUUUCAAAAAUAUUAAAUUAAAUUUUUUUUUCAAAAAUAUUAAAUUAAAUUAAAGUAUUUAAAAAAAAUUAAAUUAAAUAUUUUUUAAAUAUUAAAUUAAAUAAAUUUAUUUUUUAAAAAUAUUAAAUUAAAUAAAUUUAUUUUAAAAAAAUAUUAAAUUAAAUAAAAGUAUUUUAAAAAAUAUUAAAUUACAUAAAAGUAUUUUUUUAAAAUAUUAAAUUAAAUAAAAGUAUUUUUAAAAAAUAUUAAUUUUUUUCUCAAAAUCAACAAUGGGCAUUUUUGGAAAUACUUAAGGAUGAUAUCCUUCAACUCAAUUUCCAUACUUUCAUUGGGUAUUGGGCUUAAUUUGAAGAGUUACAUGGACCUUUUGUUAAUUUGAGGGCUCAUCUACCCCCAAAACAUAAUUCUCCCUUGUUUUAAUCUAUAUAACAUAACCACAUAAUAUUAAUUUGAAAUUAAGAAGUCGUGCAAAUAUACAAUAUAAAUGAAAAAAAAAACUCGGUGGUUUUCCGAACAUUGUGAAAAGGUCUAAACCUAAAAAUCUAGAUAACAAGAAAAAUAUCCCGAGCUAGAAGGUUAAAUAUAACAAAAAUAUUUCAAAAUAUAAAGUCGGAUAAAGUUUAAUUAUUUGACUAAUAGGAUGUUUAAUUCUACGAGCAUGUUAAGGGUCUCUAGAUAUAAUUAUGAACAUCCUUAAAUAUGUUUGAAAGUACAAUGUUGAAUUGAAAAAUGUCAAACCCUACAACACUAGACACCAUUGGAGGCACUUCUUUCCAACUCAAAAAAAUAUGAAAAUAAAAUAAAAUAAAAAAUCAUAAAAGAUGUAACACCUCCUUCUCCCAACUCAAAAAAUAUGAAAAGAAAUGAAAUAAACAAAAUAAUCAUAAAAAACAUGCCUCUACACUUGUACCACCGUGAAACACAACUUUUUUGAUAAAUUUUAUUAGAAUUAUGAAGAGAUUAGAAGUAAAGGAAGAAAAAUAAAGCAGUUUACGGAUUUCAUAAGAGGGCAUUUUUAUCCUAAAAAAUUCAUUAAUAAAGUGAAUGCAAAGAUGAGUUUAAUCUGUGCAAAUAUAAUUUACCAUUCUUAAAUUUUAUUAGAUUCAGCCAAAAUCUUGAGACAUUCACACUCAUACCUGCACACAAGUAUAUGCAUGCAGUUUUGGACCCAAGUAAACACAUAUGUGUAUGUACAGACGCGUCAAAAUUUUCAAAGGUGGGCGGCCAGACUCCUCAUCUAGUCUACUGCAAUGAUAUAAAGUUCGAUGGAUACGGACUAUACAAUAAGAUAUGUUUUUAGCAUAGCUGCUCCAGUUAAAAGAGAGAAUGCAAAGAUCAUGAUGGGUGUAAAUAUAAUUUCUCAUUCUUAAAUUUUAUUUAAGAAUUCUGGGCCAAAAUCUUGAGAUUCGGUACCUGCACAUGAGUGUGAAUGCGUUAGGCAAGGCAGUUUAUUACAUACUGGGCCAAUUUGUGGAAUAGAUAUGAAUACAGACGUGUGUGUAUAUAUAUAUAUAUAUGUACAGAUGCAGGUGGGUGGCCAGGCUCCUCAUCUAGUCUACUGCAAUGAUAUAAAAUUCCAAGGUAUAGACUACUGCAAUGAUAUAAAAUUCCAAGGUACAGACUAUACAGUAAGAUAUGUUCUUAGCAUGGUUGCUCCAGUAGGGUCAGAUAGUAGAUGUUUGAUAAGGCACAUUCUCAUUUGGUUUGGUGCUAAUAUAAACAUAUAGAAGGCAAAUAAGAUGAGAUCAGCUGAGGAGAGAGUGGAGCCAAG